AACCCAUCACUUAUGUAUUGAGGAGUAAGCUCUUAUUCUAUAAAAAAACUCCUUCACCAUCAUUAGAGAGCAUCGCCGCCUCGCCCGAGCAUCACUCCUAACCCAUUAUUCAUGUACUAAGGAGCGAGCCCUUAUUUUAUAAAAGGGACUAUCUCACCUUUAUUAGAGAGCAUCGCCGCCUAUUGAGCAACUGCCUCGCCGCGAGUAUCAAUUUUAGCCCAUCAUUUAUGUAUUGAGGAGCGAACCCUUAUUAUAUAAAAUGGACUCCCUCACCUUCAACGUCACAAGCUGAGCCAACCAAGGCAACACAAGCCACAAGCCGAGCAGCCUCGCAACAUGUGUUACUUCUAGUUGAACGUCAUUUCAGAUUGAGCAUCGCCUCAUAUAGAGUAUCAGUCCUAGACGACAUCUUGUUACUUCGGCCCACACAUGGAUUGAAUUUCAAGUCUCCAGCCAAAAGACACUCUUGACUAAAGACUUGGGGGACUACUGUUUGUACCAUACUUAAGGCCUCCGUAUUUAGAUCUCGUAUAAAUACUGGGGGGACUUAAAUGUAAUUAUGUAAUAAAGGAAUGGGCAAAUAUGUAAUAAGUGAUGAGCGUUUAUUCUAUAAAAGGACUCCCCACUCUCCUAAUUUGGAGAAGGCCAAUUCUUAAGCCAUACCCUCACCUUCUCAGAGCUUUCAUCCUCACAGAGAAGCUCUCUCUCUCAACAUCUCAGAGAAAUACAAUAAUCAGUGUCGACAUAGCCCAAACAUUAGGGUGAACCACGAUACAUCUUGUGUUCUUUACUUUCUUGCAGAUUCACGGUCGGAUUUACGUUGUUCCAAAACCCCUCCGGUUUUGUGCAUCAACAAUGUUAGUAUGGUGUUUCGGUCAUUCUCUCAAAUGGUUGCAACACAAUAUUCCUCUGUUAUUAAGGUUCGCUACUCUGAUAAUGGAGGUGAGUAUAUUGGUUUCGAGUUGUCCAACUUUCUUUGGGAUCAAGGAAUUCUACAUGAAACUAUUUGUCCUCAUACCCCACAACAAAAUAGGGUUGCUGAGAGAAAGAACCGUCAUAUCCUGGAAAAUGCUCGUGCCUUGCUCAUUGGUGUGUCCGUACCUAAACGGUUAUGGCCUGAAGCUGUCACCUAUGCCAUGUAUGUGAUUAACUGUAUGCCAUCCUAGGUUGUGGACUUUUGUACACCUUACCAAGUGUUGACAAAAUUUGUUCUCGUUGUGUCAACCAAUACUAUUACUCCUCGUGUAUUUAGGUGUGUAGCCUAUGUUCAUAUUCAUAAGAUUCAUCGUAGUAAGUUGGAUCCAUGUGCUCACCGAUGUGUUUUUCUGGGAUUUGCUCCUCAACAGAAAGGGUAUAAGUGUUACCACCCUAAAACUCGCCAUAUGUAUGUGACCAUGGAUGUUACUUUUUCUAAAUCCGAGUUCUUUUAUGCUUCAAUUCCAUCACAUUCCGAUCACUACGGGGAGAAUACUAAUGGUGAUCUUGGAUGGUUGGAAAUAUGUAACUCAUGGGGAGCAUUUGUUGAAAAGAAAAUUGUGAAAGCUUUCGGCAAGGCAUUGUUGAGAAUGGAGACGAUGGCUUUCGGCAAGACACUGCAGAGAAUUGGAGUAUCAUGCAGCCGCCGAGCACCGAACCGACUGUGUUUUCUCGGCAACAGAAUGCCGAGUGUGAUGCAUAGUGUAGGCAAUGAGCUACCAAACCAGUUACGUCGCUCCAGCAACCAUUAGCUACCAAACCCACACCCCCUCUCUCUCUCGAGCUCGACAAUGCCACUCAAUGUGUUUUCUCUGAAUAUCAUUUAGGGAAGUAUCAUUGAUGCUCAUGUAACUAAUUAAGAUAAUAUUAUGAGUACAUAUAAGUUACCGCCAAGGCAAAAUCGUGGUGUUCCUCUUGACAGGUUUUCUCCUAAAGGAAAAGUAAAGUAUACAAUAGCUAAUUAUGUGUCAUGCUCAAACCUUGCAUCGGAAUGUCAAGCCUAGGUAAAUAAUGUGGAAGCAAUCCAAGCACCAACCCGAGUUGAGGAAGCCGUGAAUGAUCCUAAAUAGGCUGUUGCAAUGGAUAAGGAAAUGAUGGCACUACAUAAGAAUGAUACAUGGAAGGUAAUGGAGCUACGUAAGGGAAAGAAACCGGUUGGUUGUAGAUGGGUCUUUACAAUCAAAUAUAAGGCAGACGGAUCGGUAGACCGGUAUAAAGCGAGGUUAGUAGCAAAGGGUUAUACUCAAACUUAUGGUGUUGAUUAUCAGGAUACUUUUUCUCCAGUAGCGAAGAUGAAUACAAUACUAGUUUUAAUCUCUUUAGCUACAAAUUUGAAUUGACCACUGAAACAGUUUGAUGUGAAAAAUGCUUUUCUUCAUGGGCAUUUGGAAGAAGAGGUAUAUAUGGAUUUUCCUCCAAGGUACAAUGCCGGAUGGAAUAUGGAGUAUGUAGGUUGUGAAAGUCACUCUACAGACUUAAGCAAUCACUUCGUGCAUGGUUUGGUAGAUUUACUUAAGUUAUGAAGAGGAUUGGGUAUUAUCAAAUUUACUUGGAUCAUAUGUUAUUUGUGAAACGGGGAAAUGGUAGAGUGACAACCUUAAUUAUUUAUGUGGAUGACAUGAUAAUAAUAGGUGAUGAUUUGGAGGAGAUGAUGAAGCUAGAACAAAACCUUGCCGCCGAGUUCGAGAUGAAGAAUUUGGGAGAUUUGAAAUAUUUUCUUGGUGUGGAAGUAGCUCGGUCAUCUAGAGGUAUUUUCUUGUCUCAACGUAAACACGUUCUAGAUUUGUUAAAGGAAACAUGCAUACUGGGAUGUAAGCCUAUAGACACUCCUAUCGUAUAGAAAAAUUAUCUGGGAAUUUAUCCAGAUCAGGAACCGGUUGACAAAGGUAGAUAUCAAAGACUAGUGGGAAAGUUGAUUUAUCUUUCUCACACUCGUACUGAUAUUGCCUAUGUCGUAAGUGUGGUUAGUCAGUUUAUGCACUCACCAAGUGUGGAUCAUAUGUUAGCAUUAAUGAGAAUCUUGGCAUAUUUGAAGUCUGCCUAGGGUAAAGGAAUUUUGUAUAAAUGUCAUGGACAUAUAAGGAUUGAGGGAUUUACUAAUGUUGAUUGGGCCGAUGAUGUGACUGAUAGAAGGUCUACAUCUAGGUAUUUCACAUUUGUUGGAGGAAACUUAGUUACUUGGAGAAGCAAAAAACAAAAGGUUGUGUCCCGUUCCUCUACAAAAGCCGAAUACAAGGGUAUGACGCAUGGAAUAUGUGAAAUUAUUUGGUUGGGGAAGCUACUUUGGGGUCUCGGGUUUAAGCAAAGAGAAGCAAUGAAAUUGUAUUGUGACAAUAAGUCGGCAAGAGAAAUAGCAGAAAAUCCAGUUCAGCAUGACAUGAUGAAGCAUGUUAAGGUUGAUCGACACUUUAUUAAAGAAAAGCUUGAGAAGAAGAUUGUGUCAAUACCGUUUGUAAACUCGAAGGAGCAACUUGCGGAUGUUCUCACUCAUGCCGUGUGCAGUAGAAACUUUGGUGACUCUCUUGGCUAUUUGGGUAUGUGUGACAUCUAUGCACCAACUUGAGGGGGAGUAUUGGCGUGAGUCAAUAGAUAGAAAAAGGGAAUGUAAAUAUUGUGUAAUUUUUAGUGUCCUUUAUUAAGAAAGGUUUGUUUGUGUCCUUUAUUGUUUCCUUGGAGAACAAGGAUUGUAUUAUGUAUUAUAUUCAGAAUAUGGAAUACAUGGAAAUUAAGUCGUAAAUUCAAUUCCAAUAACUUUAAUCACUUAGUUAUAAACCCACAUUGCAAGACUCGGUCUUGACAAAAGAUAAACAUGCACAUGAACACCACAAGUUUUUUUUUUUUUCAAAAGAACGAACUAUAUGAUUAAUCUGUCACAUCCCGGGCUCGACUUCUCCAUAGCACGAUAUUGUCCGCUUUGGGCCCCGACCAUGCCCUCACGAUGUUGUUUCUGGGAACUCACACAAGAAUUUCCCAGGUGGAUCACCCAUCCUGGGAAUGCUCUUGCCCGAACUCGCUUAACUUCAGAGUUUCGAUGAAACCCGAAGCUAGUGAGCUCCCAAAAAGCCUCGUGCUAAGUAGAGAUGAUAAUAUACGUAUAAGGCUUACAUGAUCCACACCUCUAGACGAUGUGGGAUGUUACAUAAUCUAAUUUAAACUAAGGUUUUCCACUGAGGAUAUGCUCUAAUAAAACUAAAUAGUUUAUAGUAUGUACACAUUGGAUAUCUUUAAUUAAACUUCAUUGUAAUGCAGAGCAGGGGACAGAACCUUAGCUAUGUAUAUGAAUGAUAUCCAUGAAUCAUCACGAGUUGGCUUUUAUUACAAUAAUGUAAAUUCAGUAUGAAUAUGAUUUGAUAUGAUCAUAUGCACAUUACCUGUUUUUACUUGGUACGUACGUACUCGGUAUUUCACAACUUAUCAUCUACCUAGCUGGGUAGGAUUUACGUCUCUACUUAAUCUCUAAUACAAAGUAGAGAGUAGACUCAGCUACCGACAUAGCCUUACAAAUAUGAUUAGGUAUGCGAACGCCAGCCAUGAGUACUAAAUGUUGAGAUAAUGUAAACUAUGAACUCAUAUAACUAAUUGAUUUUACUGAAAAUAUGACUUUAGCCCUUGAAACUUAAUUUUUUCAACAUAAAAUCCGACAUAAGUUUUUUAUUUAAAUAAAACCCAUUGACUAGAUUCCACAUCAGCAAAUUCAUUAAUUAUAUUUGACUUUACACAUUUAAAAAUUUUCGAUGCCCAAAACACCCUAUUUGAAUGUUUGAUUUACACAAUUAAUUCCAUACAAAUUGUAAGGGAGAAUUAAUGAUUUCACAAAAAUAAAAAAAUAAUAAAUUCAUUGCCUAAUAUAUAAUAACAAUAAAACAUGCCCAAUAAAUGUAGUAAUACAUGAUUAGUUGAGUCAAUAAAAUUAUAUUUUACAUAUAAAUGUAGGUAAAUUAUUUCACGCACACAUAUAUAUAUAUAUAUAUAUAUAUAUAUAUAUAUAUAUAUAUAUAUAACAAAAAAAAAGCUUGAUAUACAAAAAAAAUUCAUGCAAAAUAAUUUACCUACAUAAUAAAGCAAACCCAAUAUAUGCAAAGUAUGUUUGUACCAUACUUGACCAAUCCCGAAACUACCGAGCACCGGCCAACGCUAUACUGUCAAGGACCCAGAAGAGUUCCCCUCCGACCAGGAGGCCAAUCACUACUCGACACGUGUCAAGAUUAGAAGCCAAUCAGAGCGCAGCACGUGUCGACAUCAAGAACCAAUCAUAACAUGACACAUGUCAAUGUGACAAAGCUACAAGUUUUUCUAUAAAUAGGGGUCAUUCCCCCACAAUAUGGCCUAAUGCCAUUUGUGUUAAAUCAUUCACAAGAACUCACUAAAUUGAGAGCUUGAUCCUUUGUACUUGUGUAAGCCCUUCACUACUAAUAAGAACUCCUCUACUCCGUGGACGUAGCCAAUCUGGGUGAACCACGUACAUCCUGUGUUUGCUUCUCUGUCUCUAUUCAUUUACGUACUUAUCCUCACUAGUGACCGAAGCAACCAAGCGAAGGUCACAAAACCUGACACUUUCUGUUGUACCAAAGUCUUCGCUGAUUUUGUGCAUCAACAAAGUACAUGCAAAAUAAUUUACCUACAUAAAAAAUGUUAUUAUUUUAUUCAAUAGUAGUUUACCUAUUUUUGUACAUAUAAUAAUAAAAUGUGCCCAAUAUAUGAUGAUACAUACAAAAUAAAAUACCUACAUAAUGAAGAAAUGUUAUUUGAUUCAAAAUUAAUUUACUUACAAAAUAAAGCAAUUUUAUUUUAUUCAAGAUUAAUUUACCUAUUAUUUGUACAUAUAUAUUAUAAUAAUAAAAUGUGCCAAAUAUAUGUAAUAAUACAUGAAAAAUAAAUAACCUACAAAAUAAAAGAGUGUUAUUUGAUUCAAUAUUAAUUUACCUACAAAAUAUAUGUUAUUUACUCAUCAUAAAUUUAAAUAUAGGUAGAUUAAUUAGUUUAAUAUGUUUGAUCAUAUAUGUAGUACUGUGCAUGUGUGUGUGUGUGUGUGUGUAUAUAUAAAUAUGUGAACGUAUAGUAGUACUAUAUAUAUAUAUAUAUAUAUAGUAUGUGUGUAUGUAUGUAUGUGUGUUUGUGUGUCUAUAUAUAUAUAUAUAUAUAUAUAUAUAUAUAGGUAAACUAUAUAUGUAUACACACACACACACACACACACAUAUAUAUAUAUAUAUAUUGAGCUUAUGGUAGUAAUAUAUACAUUUGAACGUAUAUACGUGUGUGUUAGGGGUAAUAAUAUAUGAGUAAUAACAUUUAUUGAUUUUAUUUUGAAUAUUGUGGUACAAAUUGUAAAUAUUUUGUAAUAAUAGGUCAAUUACUUAUAUACUUGGCAAUCAUUUUUAAAUUUGGGUUUUAUUUGGAUGUCUAUAACUAGGUGGGUUUUUGUCUAGAAAAUAAGAGUUGCAAGAGUCUAUAUCUAAAGAACCCUUGAUUUUAUGAUAGCUUCAUUCACUCAUUUCUUUCAUACAUACAUACAUACAUACAUACAUACAUACAUACAUAUAUAUAUAUAUAUAUAAAUGAUUCAAAUUCAAGUGACUGGAUAUUAAAAAAGUACGACGUGGGAGAGGAGGUAGAUGACAAUAAAUAUUUUGGAGACUAAGAAACACAAACAGGACAUUCGAUAUUUAGGAAGGACCUCGGUACGGAGGGAGGGAGGGAGGAAAAGAGAGGGCCGGGAGGCUCAUCAACGUGGGAGAUGCAAGCCCCGUAACGAGGUCCUCGACACACAGGCAGCCACGAUGUGGUAUGGACAUGUGGCCUUCGUGGCACAAUCUUCCACCACACCUCCGUCACCAACAACCAACUUUUUAUUUAAUGGUGCACUCCCACCUCCAUUUCUGACUCUUUCUCUCUCGGCCCUUGGGUGCUCAUACUUAUCAAUCCCUGCGGGACCCUGUCCUUGUGUAAAUCACCUUUUUAAACCCUCGCUUUCGCAGCCUCAGAGCGAUCUUCGUCGUCUCAGUGAGGACCCGUUACUUGUGAGUUGUGAAUUAUCUCUGUUGCUGCUUUCUUGCUGCACAUUAUAUACAAUUAUAGGCAGCAAGCAUUUGGUCAACUCGAUAUCGUUUGUUCGGUCGAGAGAUUAAUUAGAGAUAGAAAUGGGGAGGGCGCCGUGCUGUGAGAAAGUUGGUCUCAAGAAGGGAAGGUGGACUGCGGACGAGGAUGAAAUCUUACUCAGUUAUAUCCAGGCCAAUGGGGAAGGCUCCUGGAGGUCUUUACCCAAGAAUGCUGGUACCUACUUUUACUUCUUUCUUUUUUUUAUAACAAAUGGAUCAUGAAUUUGGUAAUAAUAAUGCAUGGUACAAUUUAACUAAUUACUAAUAAUAUAAAUUCUUCAACUUGAAGGGUUGCUGCGGUGUGGUAAGAGUUGCAGAUUGAGAUGGAUAAACUAUCUGAGAGCUGACUUAAAGAGAGGAAAUAUUUCUUCUCAAGAGGAAGAUGUCAUCAUAAAAUUGCAUGCUUCUUUGGGUAAUAGGUCAGUCGCGCACUCAUAACCUUUGCAUUAAUUAUUCUUAAGUAGCCUAAUUUUAAUUAUUUUCUUGUUCACUUCAUCUUUAUUUGUAAAUGAGAUAUUACAGAUUUAAUUCUCAUCAAAUAAGAAUUUGAACCAUAUUAUUGCUAACCUAGGCCAACCCCUUCCCCUUCACACAUCAUACUUAUUUUACCAAACCAAAAAGCAAAACUAAUACAUAAAAACGAAAACAGGCCAUAAGAGAAGAGAGGGGUAUAUAUAUAUAUAUAUAUAUAUAUAUGAGUAAUGAUAUUCAUACCAUGUUUUUAUACUAUAUUUCUAUAUCACCUUAUAUGGUACUGAUGUGGAUAGCCACAUCAUUUGAAAAAUUUGCAAAACCCAAGAAAAUGGAGGAGAAAGACCCCCUCGUAUAAUACAAUCAUAAUUUAAUUAACUAGUUUUUCUUAAUUAUUAGUUUAUUAAAUAAUGAACUAAAUUUAAAAAUCUGAUUAAUUCAAAUGAUGUGACUAUUCACAUCAAAUGCCACUUAAGGUGGUAUGAAAUGUGGUACAAAAAAAUGGUAUGAAUAACAUUACUCUUUAUAUCUGUUAUAUUUGCGAGAAUUGGAUCCUCUCCGAGGCAAACCCUCAGAUCCUCCUGACUGGGAUUAGAAAGCCGUUAAAUUUUUAUUCAACAACUACAAUUAUUAUAACUUUUAGAGGGUCACCUAUUUAUAGCAUUUAGAUAAAAAAAAAAACAGCUCACUUAACAUUAGUCAGAGGAUCCCGAAGGAUUGCCUCGGAGAGGAUCCAAUUCCAUAUUUGGGUAUCCUCUUGUCAUGACUCAUGAGUGUUGUACGUGCCGGUUCUCAAGUUUUCGGAUUCUUUUGUUUGCUGUCCAUGUCAUAAUUGUCAUUGUCAUUAGUCAGCAAAUAAAUUUGCCUUUUUUGUUAGUUGAGAAAGAACUAGAACUAGACCAGCACGCUUACACCGUACGUCAACAGGAAACUAAAUCUAUAAAUUAAAAUUUAUAAAUUAGAUGACAUUAAAAAUUAAAAAUUUGUUUAUUAUUUAAAUGUUAAUUAAUGUAAUUAUUUUUUAUUGAUGAUAUUAUUUAAUUUACAAAUUUAGUUUACAACUUUAAUUUUCAUAACAUUACUCUACGUCGACGAGGUCCGAGUGUAAAAGCACAGAAAGGAUACUACUACUAUGGGUAAUGCUAGAAAUACUAAAUUUAGAGACUAAAUUUGUAAACUAAAUGACGUGUAACCAAUAAGAAUAAAUACGUUAUCAACAUUUAAGUAAUAAACUAAUCAUUAACUCUCAUGUCACUUAAUUUUCAAAAUUUUAUCUACAAAUUUAAUCUUCUUAAUAUUACCUUACUACGGUAAUACUAUUGAUUUGGUAGUGAAUCUUGAUUAUAUCAACUCACGUGUAACUGUAAGACGUAAUCUACCUAACCAGGAAAAAAAAAAAAAACAUAAACAUACAAUUGGCGUCUUUAAUUAAAACUCCGAUUUGAUAUGCAUAGAAGCUCCUACCAAUAUCUAAGUAUAUCAAAUGUACCCACAGGCCACAUGUACAAAAAAGAAAGAGUAAAUUGUAACUAUGGUCCCUUAAUUUUAAUUCAAUUGGAGCAAUGGUCUCUUAACUAAAAAUUUAUUACCAUUUGUUCCUUAACUCAUUAAAACAUGCAGUUAUGGUUCCUCAACUAAAAAUCAAUUACCAUUGGUCUCUCAACUUUAAUUCAACUGAAAAAAUGGUCCCUUAACUUUAACCCAAUUGUAACAAUGAUUCUUCCAAUAUAACUCGUUUUGACAAAAAUUUUGACGUAGUGGACGAAAAAGACCAUAAUUACACACUUUGAUGAGUUGAGGGACCCUAAUUGUAUAAACGGUCAUUCCAACAUAACUUAUUUUGACAAAAUUUUGAUGAAAUUGAUGAAAAUGACUAUAGCUACACAUUUUGAUAAGUUGAGGGAUCAAUGGUAAUGAAUUUUUAGUUGAGGGACCAUUGCUCCAAUUUGAUUAAAGUUGAGGGAUCAUUGUUACAAUUCACUAAAAAAGAAAAUAAAAGAAAGACCCUCUCGAAUUAGCUUACAAAGAUUUGUAUUAUAUGAGUAUAUAUAAUUGUUAUUACAAUAAUACGUUCUUAUUAUGAGUUAACUUUUCUUCACAUGGUAUUUCUAUAAUUUCACGAGUACACAGAAUUACUAUGGUGUUCUAUGUCAAAAUCAUGCAAUACCAUGAAUAAGAUAUAUAUAUAUUUUUUUUUUCACAUGACAUUGUAAGAUAUAGUUGACGUAAGUACACUGCAAACUACAAUGUUUCGUGCUAAUCAUGUUUUGUGCCAAUCAUGCAAUAGUAUGUAUAAAUUCUCUUUCACGUCCCAUUAUAUGAUUAGCACAAAUUACCAAUGUUAACAUAUUUUCUUGUCUUUAUGUAUGUUAGAGAAAGAGUCUUGUCCAAGAAAUUGUAUCUCCUAAAAUUUAAGAAUUAAUAUUUGAAUCUGAUUUCCAUUAUAUUCGUGUUCUAUGAUCAAACUGACUUUACUUGACAAUUUUUCUUUGGGACCAUAAAAUUUGGCCCUUCACAUUUAAUAUAAAGGGGAACAAGGAGAAACUUAGCUAGCUGUAGAUAUCAUCAGUACAUGAUACACACACACACACACCGUAUAUAGUAUAUUAUGCUCUUUUCUUUUCUUUCCAAGCAUAUGCAAUACAAAUGAAAUUUGAUUUAUCAUUGCUGGUUAAUUAAUGAUUAAUAUGAUUAUGAAUGUAUAUGCAGGUGGUCUUUGAUAGCGAGUCAAUUACCAGGAAGAACCGAUAAUGACAUAAAGAACUACUGGAAUUCUCACUUGAGCAGGAAAAUUGACACCUUCAGGAGGCACACCACCUCAACCGCCAUUACUACUGAAAUCAGCACCAGUUCCCUACCAGCUGGUCAUGAAGUUUCGGCAGCUAUGGAAUUAGGCCCUCCCCCUCCCAAAAGAAGAGGUGGCAGAACCAGUCGCUGGGCCAUGAAGAAGAACAAAACCUACUCGACCACCAAACCCAAAGGCCUCGAGGCCCGGCUGAGCCAGAGCCACCACAAAGACGUUAAUGUUUCUGCUGCUGCUGAUGAUGAUCGUUUAAAUAAUGUCCACGAGGCAACUGCCUUGCCUACUGAAAAUAAUAAUAAAACCGUGGACACCAUGCAAGACGAUUACGUGCUACUAAUUGAGGCCCCGGACCAGCAGCAGGAAACUGGAGGUGGAGGAAUAUCAAUGAUGGCAACGGUCAUUGAUCAUCAGAAAGAAACUGAUGGCGGAAAACUAACUUUAGGACCACAUCCACUUGUACACGACGAUGGUGAUAUGAAUGAAUCUGUCGGCAUUGAUGGAGGGUUGUUGGGGUUUACUGACUACUUGAUGGACGAUAUUAAUGAGGACGAGAUACUGGAUCCAAAUGGUGUUUUGGCUUUAAGUGCAAGUGAAAUAAACAUUCAUCAAGAUGCUGAUCAUUUUACGGACGCGGAUCAUCAUCAGGACACAGAAUUACCAUCGUCAUGUGACCAAUUAGUCAUGUGUCCAAAUAAAAUUAUGAUGACAACGACGACUACUACUACUACGGCAGCCAGUGAUGAUCAUCACGAUCAGGAGCAAGAGAGCAGAAGCUGCGGUGGUAAUUUUUGCUCGUUGUCGAUCUCAAACUCAAACGGACAAGUUGUCACGGGAGACUUGCAUUCAUGCGGCUCUUCGAUGUCACUGACAAAUGCUAGUAAUUGUGAUAUGGAGGAUGGUCAUACUGCUGGUGGAUUCGGAACUCACGAUCAUAUAUUAUGGGAUUGGGAGAGUGUACUUAUCCAAGCUGGGACUGAUGAGCAUGACUACUUAUGGGAUGGCCAUGACAGACAAAACAUGCUGUCUUGGUUGCGGGAAGGAGAAUCUGCUACUGCUGCUGGUGAUGAUGAUCACGCUGAUGCCGUGGUUGCUUGGCUUCUAUCUUGAAUAUUCAAUUCAUUUGUCGUACCCUAGCAGCCUUUUGUCACUUUGUUGCUCGUUUGGUUUUAUUGGACCUUUUCUUUUGUUUUGAAUGAGAAAGAUCCCAAUAAUUAAUUGAAAUGAUGAGACAGAGAAUAUAAUUUCACAAUUACAAAUAUAAUAAAAGACAAUACAACAUUUGUACAUCCAAUUAUAAUGUUCACGAGAGGACAAAAUCUUGUAUUACUUUCUAAUGAACUUGCAAAGAUGAAGCUUUUUAGCAAGGAAGCUUUGUUGUGAAAUAUCACGAAAUGAUCCUCAUAGUCUUGCGCCAGGCAAACAAACAGCAAAACCAAAGUAAAAGACUAAGGUCGGCGAUGGUAAAUCUUUUAUAUGUGUUUCUUUCUCACUCAUUGGUAAAAAGUUAUCAUCCUGUAUAUCUUAAUUAAUUUUUACUUCUUGUACUUAAUUGCUUUCUUUAUCAAUCUUGUUUGGAAGAGUAAAUCAUAAUUAAGCAAGACUGAGUAAUUUAAAGCAAUCCAUUAAUUCAAGAUAGGAAGUUUGGCCGAGGCAUAUUUAUGAGUUGUAACCAAAAGGAGACGUCACUUAAGUUACAAUAAUUGAGAACCAAACUUACUCACCCUAACUAAAUAUUAUUGGAUUGACAAAACUAUGAGCUACCAAUCAAUCAUUAUUAGUUUACGAUAGAGGUAGCUAGCAAGUUGUCUUAGGAAAUAUAUCAAAACACACACACACACACACACACACACACACAUAUGUAUACAUGUAUAUAAUGUAACAUGGAUAUUAAUUCUUCUAUUCUUUCUGAAAUUCCGGUGAACUACAAAUUUUUUCACUACAAGAAAAUAGGGUUUUUGUGGCGACAGACAUUCGUCACAUAAAUAUGAAAAUUCGUCACAUUUGACUAUAUGUGAUGAAAUUCCAGCGUCACAAUUAUCGUCACCUAUACAGCGCCACCGAUAGUUUACGUGACGAAUGUUAGAGUCGCCACAUAUUUUUCUUUUACGUGGCGCUAAUUUCGUCACAUAUUCUGUUUGUAAGUGACAGAAUAAGCAUCAUAAAAUAAAAAAGUCAGUGACCAAUGUUUUUCGUCUCAUAUCAAACUUAUAAGUGAUGAUUUUAUCGUCACCCAAUAUAAUCCCAGAAUGAUAUGAUUAACAUUAAAUGACAUUGAAAUCGUCACAUAUUCUUUUGACAUGUGACACAACUUAUGUCACAUAUGUUAAAUCAAAUACCUAUUUAGGAAUAAUAUAUGAUGAAUUAAUUACUUGUUCCUGUUUCGUAAUCUAGAAUUGCAAUUCAUAACUAUAAGGUAAUAUACUUAAUUCACAUUUUUCAUUAAUCAACACUUAAAGCACAUAAGUCGAAUACACUCAUCAAGUGUACAUCCCACAAAAUAACAUAAACAUCCCAAUAUCAAUCUAACUCAGGGUGACCUAUCUCAUUGGUAGUAAUUCGUCAUGAAGGGCAUCAACACUUAUACAUAAACAACUUGAGGUCCUAACAAAAGGAAAGUCUAAUCAACAUUGAGGUGCUAACAAAAGAGAAGUCUAAGACACUUGCAGCCAAAAAAGCCUUUAACUUUUGAUACCAGACUUUCAUCAACAUUGAGGUGCUAACAAUAGAGAAGUCUACGACACUUGCAGCCAAAAAAGCCUUUAACUUUUAAUACCAGACUUUCAUCUUCAUUUUGGAAAUCCAAUUGAACUCUCAAUUGUUCAUCUGAGGAAACCCUCCGAUAAAAACUUGAUUUAAAGGAGUACCCUUAAGUGCUUCUUGGAUCUGCUUCAUCAUUCUUUUUCUUCAUGUUAUCAUUUCAUAAUAAAAUAGAAACAUAUUAGUUUCUUUUUGAAAGAUUAGCUACAAUAUCCUUAAUUAAAAAAAUACAACUUGACUACUAUAUGAGACCACCAGGUAUAACCUGUCUUUACAUAUGAUUUUGUAGUUUCUGUUUGAAUGUGGGUUAAAUUGAACUAGGCACAUAUAAGGUUUUGCUCAAAAAGUAAUAAGCAUCAAUAGCAUAAGAAUAUAAUGUAAUAAGCAUCAAUCAAUAUCAUAAGGAUAUAUUGGUGGGCAAACAAAACGAAGAGAAACAUAAACUUAUUAGGAAUUCAAAUGUAAUUUAAUUCAUAAGGGGUCCUUUCAGCUUCUAGCUAGUUAUAUCAAGUUUUUUUCUUGAAGUCAAUCUUGCAUGUUCACCUUAUUUGUGCUUUCUAAGUUGUAUCUUGUCAAAUGUGAAUUUUGACUCUCCAACUCUCUUGAAAUGGAAAAAAAUGAUAAGCCCAUGAAUGACUGAAUGACUUAUCUAUUUGUCUAAAGCAACAUCAUUGAUCCGCUGGCCGUUCUUGUCUUUGUGGAGAAGGUGGUGGCGGAGGAGGUGCAAGUGCAUCAAUUGGAGGAGGAGGUAAGGGAUCCCUCACCUAUUUCACCCUCUUUCCUCACUACGUAGAAGCUGUCAUCUAAAAUAUGAAAGGGAAAAGUAACUAACACAGACUAAAAUGUUAAUAUAUACAAACCAUUAUACUUAUAAUGACUAUUUGUAAAAUUAUAGGGCAAUGGAUUACUAUUGUAGGAUAUGAAUUAAUUUAUAAUGCACAUAUCUCACCACAGUCAUCAAUCAUAAUCACUUUAUCAUCAUCGUCGUAAGCUCACCAAACUACAAAUCCAUUGUCUAUCCAUGAAUUGAAGUCAAAUCACUUUUAGUCCUAUUAUUGAGCUGCACAUUCUGACACAUUUCAAUAGGUUGGCAUAAUAAAAUAUAUGUAAAAUUGUUUAGACAGACAUAUAAUAUGAUAUGAAAACUAGCAUGCUUUCAGCAUAUACAUGCACAAUACUUCAUAUUCAUCAUUACUAUUCAGAUGCAAUAAUACUUUUGACUAGAGGUAGCAUGAAUACUAUGUCAUGUUAAAUUGCAAGUAUUAAAUACAACAUACGCACUUGAAACUUUGGUCUUGUACUUAACUAAUCUCAAGCUUGAGCACCUUUAAUCCUGAAAAUCAAGAAAGUAUAAGAAUUUCAUACAACAAAAGUAAAUCUGCAUCAGAGCAUAAUAUAGAAAUUUUAAAAGUUGACUAACCAACUGUAGAUGUUCAAUCAAUUUACUAGUUCUAGUUUCCUAUCCUCCCAACAAAUGAUUUUGGCUUUCUAUAUCCCAUCAAUUACAAAUUAAUUCAAAUCUUUUGUUCUCUUCCUCCAUUGUAAAGCACUUGAAGGUACUUUGGGUAGAAUAUCUAAAUCUCUUAGCAUGCCAAUGUUAAACUACAUUUUGCUCCAACAAGUGACUAUGAUGUAAAAUCCAAUCCGAUCCCAAACUUGGCAGGUUAAAAAGAUGGGGAACAUGAAAUCUAAAUUUAAGCUUGCAUAAUGCAUGUCCAACACCCUAAAAAUGAAAUACGUUCAAGAAAGUGGCAAAGCCAAAUUCAGCCCUCAUUGUUCUAGUUCCUUGAGAUUUUCAAAAACACCCCAUGUAGCCUGCAAUACAAUGCACCAAAUCACAUAAUAAACCAAUUACAGAAGGGCAACGGCACAGCGCCGUUGGCACUCUCAUGUUUAACUUUUGACGAUACAUAUAUUGCGUGUAUAAAAAUUGUAAAAUACUUAGUUUGAAGUGCUAAAAGCAUUGCACUUAAUAGAUAGGUAAAUAAAUGUGUGGGAAAGAGGAAGAGUACCAUGACAAAAGGUGUUUCAGUGAUAAAUAGAAUAGGAAACCCUCUAAAGAAUGCGAAGGGUCAUCUAGAUUUUAGAAUCGUACAUAAUACUAAAAUUGUACUUGUACCUGAACUAACAAACACCAAAAUUUAAUCAAUUCAAUCAAACUCAAAUUAGUUAACAAAAUAUUAUUUUGUUUGAGAAUUUUAUUAGACGAUAUGGGGUGACUGAUGCUGCAUACUGAGUGGCUGAUGCUGCAUAUAAUUGAUGCUGCAUAUGAAUAUUAGACGAUAUGGGGUGACUGAUGCUACCAGAUUUUAUGUUUCCUCUUUCCAUGGGAUUCUCUAUUAAGUCUAAUCCCUUAAUUUGAGAAGAUUGACAUCUAGAUGACUUGUUGAUAGUUGUGUGGUAGCUACUUGCUGCACUCCCUUAAUUUAAUGAGUGACAGCUUUAGGGUUUAUCGGGUUAGUAGGAUUUGCCAAGGUAGGGUUGCGUGUAACCUUCUACCUCAUUAUAUAUCCCCCCCUUGUACAUUCAAUAAAUCUAUGAAAAAUACAUUCAAACAAACUUAAAAUUUCCACAAAUUUACUCUGUGGUAGUCUACAUGUUGAAAAAAUAGUUACACGAAAAAUGGAGUAGUUCCAGUUUUUUUUUUUUUUUUCGAAUAUUGCAACUAGUAUAAUCUUCUUCAUCUACCAAAAACUAUUCCUCCUCUUCUUUUUCUUUUGUUCAGUUCUUCUGUUUGCCCCCUUUUGUUCUUAUUUGUUAUGGUGUAGUAGGACAUGAUAGUUUUUUUUUUUAGAAGUGGAUUUGUGCUAUAGCUGAGAUGUUGUAGUUUUUAUCCUACCUCAGAGAAUUAACUAUGCAACUAAUCAAUAGCUUAAAUAGCUGCAAUAAUUGUGUUCUAACUAAAUUAGAAAUAAGAAAAUUACAAUUUAACAAAUGAUAAUGUUCACAGAUGGCCAUCAACGACAUUUCAAAGAGAAAAUAGAAAAAUAACAACCAUUAUUCAUUGAUUUUCAAAGGAGAAGGGAAAUUGAUAACUAGGUGUCUAAGCUUGGCAAACAAAGACUGAUUGAAGAAGAAAAUCCAAAAACAAUUAAAUAAAUAAGUACCUUGUUGUCAAUUGAGAGGCCGAGGGAGAGAGACGAAUGAGAGGUGGUAUGUGGUCGCCAUUGAUGGCAACCACCAGGUGGCUGGUCGGCGAGGCGGGGUGAGAGAGUAGAACCAAGGGGAGCUGAAAGAGAUGGGGUGAGAGAACAGAACGAAAUAGGUUAUUAUUUUUUAGGGAAAACAAAAUAGGUUAUUAGGUUUUACAAUUUGGGAGUUUUGACAUUAUUAUUUCAAUAUUUUUAAUUUUUACUUUUAAUAUUAUAAGUGAUGAAUUGACUAUUACGUGGCCUACUCUUUAUAUAAGUGAUGAAUGUAAAAAUUUCAUCACAUAUUAACAUUUCGUUUGGCGGUAAAAUUUCCCGCCCAAUAGUUUGUGAUGAAUUCAAAAUGUUUAUGUGACGCAAAAUAAUUUGGUGUUUGUGAAAAUCUUUAUGUGAUGAUUUCUAAAAAAGCCUCGCUCAUUUUAGCAAAUGUGAUGAAUUUUUAGACGCCACAAAAAAUACCGUCACCUAAUCCAUGUUUUUUUGUAGUGUUUGGUAAAAGAUGAACCACAAAUGUACGUUAAAAGAGGCAACCGUGGGGACACUACUUGACAAGAAUAAUUUACAUGCAGAACAAUAAAUCUACAAGAUGUUGAGACGAGUAUUAUUGCAUGUGAUUGAAUGAUGUGAAUCUUGUAUUGCUCUAUAUAUUGUUACAUAAUUUUGAUCAAGUUGAAUGUUCGCAUUCUAAUUAAUGGCAAUUUUAUGAAAACAAAAUCGUGGAUUAACAUAUGUUGAGCAUGAAGAGUGAACAGGCCAAUGUAAUUUAGGAGAAACAGGCAAGGCAACAUCGACCAGAUGUGCGUUCAUGCGUGCAUUCUCACUGCAUAUACGUUCAAGACAAGAGUGGUGACUACUGAGGAUACCAACAACAAUUGCCAGAUCUUUCCUUUUUAUGUAUUACAAUUAAAUGUGUUGGGCACUUUUGAAGGAGGUUGACAUGAUGGUAAGAAGGGAGAGGGCCCAAGAAGGGAGAGGGCCCAAGAAGGGAAAGGAUCCUCACCGGAUCCUUUUUCUAGGGAUUCUGUGAUCUUAUCCGUUCAUCAUAUAUCGUACGGUAAAAAAUUAUUUCAAAAUUUAAAAUUAAAUAUGAAUAGUAUUAACGAAAACUGACUGCACGAUAUAUGAUAAAUGGGUGAGGUCAUGGGAUCCGACGAGGAUCCUUUUUUGGCCCAAGAAGAAAAAACGACGGUGUCUACGGUUUCUUUAGUCUACAUCUCCAUCUAUCAUAAGAGCAGAGAUUUUUCAAUGUGAUGGGUACACGGAGUAGAACACCACAUGUUACUAUACAAAUGAUUGGAUAUGUGUGAUGAAAAGUUAAUAACUUAAAAAAUAAAAUUUCCCACCACAUAUAUAAAAAUAUAUGGUAUACCACCCGUGUUCCGAGAGAUUUUUGUAGGAAAAUAAUAACCACAUGUCCUACGACGUGUGAUCCUCGUUUCUUUUUUCUUCUACUCUCCCCUUCUGUUAAUAAACAUAAUUAAGCAGAUGUGUACAUAAUUUAUGAAAUUACAAAAAUCACUUCCCUUUUAAAAGAUCGCAACUACCGCUUAGUGCUUGCUCAUGGUCCGUGUCCAAAAUAUUAUUGGUCUUCCAAUUUAUAAAGUCUUGUGACAAAUUCAAAGACUCUUGUCUACCUUUAAUAACAAAUUCAAAGACAAACGAAUCGACAAAAUGAAAUGAAAUGAUUAGUUAAAAAUUAUAAGACCUAAUAUUUUAUGUUAAAUAACUAUAGAGGAAGGAUUUCUACCUCUUAAAGGUUGUUUGACGGGUCAAUUUGAGAUGCUUUUGGCCUCGUUUGGAAUGAAUGAUUGAAUUAGAAUGGACGACUCUUUAUGAAAAUGUAUGUUGAGAAGAGAAAUAAAAGAUAAGAGAUAAAUUACUCGUGAAUGAAACUUAUUCAUUCUAGUCAUUUUCAAUUUGGUAGGGUUAGAACUUAGAAGAGAUGUGUUUUCUUCAUAUCUAAUUCUCUUUUAGUCUUUCAAAAGUGAGUUAUUUAUUCUAAUCUAAUCCAACAUACCAAACAAGCCUCAUUAGUAGAGGCCCUCCCUAAAUCGGAAUGCUUAUGUGUAUUUUAUGAGCGUGUUUUGAGUUCUUAUGCAAGAAAUACUUUUAGAAAGCGCUUUUAACUUCUGCCAAUUGCUAUCAGAAGAAUUUUUAUUGAUAUAAAAAGAGAGAAUUGUUAUUGGCACUCCAAAUUUCUCAUUCUACACUCCAAACUUUAUAUAUUUAGAAAGAAAAAUACUCUUGUGAGGAGUGUAGAAUAAGAUUUUUGGAGUGCCAAUAACAUUUCCCUAAAAAUAUUUUUAAUUAUUUUAAACGAUGUGAUAGUAUUUAAUAGUCUAAAAGCACUUUUAAACAUACAAAAAGUAAUUAAAUUUGAUUUUAAUUUUCUAUGGGCAAAACCUAAGAACAUAUUGUGGGCUUAGAUUCACUGUGGCAAUGUCGUUCGGAGAUUGAGAAUGGGCUACUGACCUAGGUCUUAAAUAAGAAAGCCCAAGUUUAAGGAACUGGUCACCCUUUUAGCCUUUAGCGCGGCUGCUGGCGGUGGACGACUCCACUGUUGGCUGCGGAGUGCGGAGCGAGUGGGAAUGUUGAGGUUGAAGCCAAAUCGCAUCGGAACCUUCACUACCACUGGUAAAAAGGCUUCUCUCUCUCUCUCUCUCUCUCUCUCUCUCUCAGCCAUUAGCUAUUACUUUGGCUUCAAAACUCGAUAGAAUAGAUUAUGAUUUCUAAACAUUCAUUUCGUACUUUACAGGCGAAGAGCUCCUCGUUUCAUUCGCAGCAAAGCUUCUUCGGUAAUUAUUCCGAAUCUGACCUCAGUUUUUUAAAUCCUUAUUUAUUUAUUUUUAAUGAAUCUUUUUCAAGGCGUGGCGUUGCAUUAUUUGAUGCAUACUUUCUGAAUGACAAAUCUGUAAAUAAACAUAAUAUGGGAAUAGCAAAACUUUAAUGAUUGUAUGGUUGACAUGGUUUCUAAUUUCUGUUUAAGCAAUGUAUGUAGUUCUACUUCCUCAGAAUUGUCAGGUUCAAAGGGAGUAUGUUUCCACAAAAUUCGUCACUUGUUAUACAUUGAAAUUUUCACUUUUGACGUUUUCACUUCUGUCAAGUGUCAACCACAACGAUGAAUUUGAAUUCCACUGCCUUUUCUACUUGAGUCAUAGCUUGUCAGUUUCUGUUUGAAGCUUCUGAAAUAUAUUAACUUAUUGUUUCGAUGGAAGAUGUCAUGCCACCAUAGAUUUUUCUAUCAACCCAUUAUCCGCGAGGAAUAGGGCUUUAUCUUGCAUAACAACGUUCCCCCGGUCUUUUCAUUCUUCAACUUCUGAAGAUGACACCUUCUCCGAAUUGGGCUCCCCAAUGCCUAAAGCUCCAACUCAUGCUCGGAAGUUGAAGUUGAUGACGGAGAAGCCUGAGCCUUAUUUGGUAUGUUCAUAAUGCCCCAACCUCGUACAUUCAUUACUCUGUCUUGUGUGCGUGUGAUUGCAUUUGGCUUCGGUUUUGUUACUCAGAACGCAUGUGCACUGUAGAUAUAUUACCUCUGCUUGCGGUUUCAUGAAUAUUGCUGAAAUGAAACAUGCCAUGUGUUCUUACAAAUUCCAUCUCAAGCAGAAAACUAAUCGUACGAAAAGACCUUCUCGAAUGCCUUCAGAAAGCCGCAUCAGAUUGAAAGAUAAUUCCUCAAGACUGGGUAACUUUGUCCAACCAUUUCAUUCUACAUUGACAGCUGCAACAAUAACAACAAUAUUUAUUUAUACAUUGAAAAAAAUAUGACCUUCCCAUCUGUUACUAUUGUAGUGAGAACAUAUCUGCAAUCAACCUUCCCUAUUAAAAGAGGCCUUGCCCACUUUUACGAAUAUGUCAUAUACCUUGUCGUUUACCCUUGAACUGUUGAAUAACCCCUAUAGUCCCUUUCCAUUUUCCAUGGUUUCGGGAUAAUUAUUUAAUGCCCAUGCUUCAAAAGAGCAGGUUCGGAUUGGGAGGUUGUUGUACGGAGUUUUGGUCGUUCAAUUGAUCCACCGGAGGAGGAAGAGGAAGUUACCAUUAGAAUUACCAAUAUAAAUUCGGAGACAACAGACUCUGCAGUGCACUCAAUGUGCACGUCUUGUGGUAGCUUAGAGGGGCUUGUGAGGACAAAAGAAGAUGCAGUUGACGCCUUGUUUAGUGUGAAAGACAAGGCAGGCAUAAAAAGCAUAAUCAAAAAGUAAGAAAAUACUUACAUUUCUUUUCUUGAUUGCGUUUGCAUUGUACCUUCAUCAAUAGCAUUGCAUUUCUAUUUUUAAUCUGGAAACUACUGGACACAUACAGAUAUGACGAGUGUCUGUCAUACUCUUUUCUCCUUGGAAUUUUUGUAUGUAUAAUAUCAUGUAUUUUUGCUUGUGUGUAUUCGGAUGGAAGAGUGAAGAGUGCAUUACAGUAAUUGUUGAAGUCUAGAUGGUCCACUAGAUAGAAUUUUUACCUUAUUAAUUGUUUUGAGGUAUUGUUUUUGUUUUAAUGAAUAGUUUCCCAUGCUUAGUUCUGGUAUUUUGUGGCCAUGGAUGUCAGAUUGAAUGAGACGAUGGUGAACGGUCACAAGUGGUCAGCUGAUUUACAUGGAAGAGACUCCUCCGCUGAAGUGAGGAGCAAGCAAAGCAAUGCUAACUAUGAUUUGAGAUUGGAGAUAAGCCGUCAACUGGCGGACGUAAGAAGGGAAGUCACAAGGAAGACGGUGUGCAUACAAGACUUGGAGUGUCUGCAUAACUCCUUGUUGCACCUUGAGGGGGAGGCUCAUCCUCACACCACCCACACCCGCUAGUAUUCACGACUGACUUUGGCAAAUUAUACCCCCGCCCCCGACCCCCUACCAUAGUUUUAGUAAAUGCAUUACAUAUUAGCAGAGUUACGAAUAGAUGCCGAAUUUGUUUGGUUUAUGAUUAACAGGACUGACCGGCCACACGUUCUUGACGUUGCUGACCCAAAACUAGAAGGCUGCACGUACUUGUGACCGAGGCAAUAUUUUGUACGGACAGAGGGUUAUGGAUAAAUCAAUUAUCAUAUUAUUUUCUUUAAUCAUCCAUUGCCAUUCAAUCAUUGCUCUAGUUAGCUUACAAUUGGGGGCGAAAUGAGAAUCGUAAUCUUACUUGACCAGCUUAACACUGGGAAAUGAUUAAUUUACUUUACAAUAAUCUCACGACCGUCACGACCGUUAGAUAAGCUGUCCCUAGCACAAAGGAAACAAAGUAAAGGAAUAAACCAUUCACCUUCUUCCACAUAACAGCAAGGUAACCGAUUCUCCGCCUGUUUAAAAUUCUUCGACAAUGGCCAUUUUCCCAAGAAAGAACCCCCGACAGGUGGCAAGAAAAUAUGUGACUUUAUGAUGCCCCUCUCUUCAUUUAAAACAAAGGGAAAGCCUAAGUUCUCAUCUUGCACUCCAGAUUCUGCAUAUCAAGCAUGUAUCUAACAUCACUGAAGCAAGCACUUAAUCUGCAGAAUCAAUCCCUUUCACAUCCAUAUCCAACAUCCUGCAUGAUUUCUCUUGUUUAAAAUCAGGCUCUGUGAUACCCAUAGAAGAACACCCUGCAAUCGGAUAUUCCCUCUCAUCAACUAAAGACUUCAUGUAGGAACAUGGCUGCUCUUCAGCUUCAAUAUUGGAUACAGGCUCUUGCCCUGAACCAAACUCCAACUCGUAAGACGGAGGGCCAGCAGGUUGUGUUCUCAUUUGCACAGACCGCAAGAGUGCAGCCCUCCUUAAGUCAGCUGAGUGACAAAUAUCACUAGGUGAUGACGGGAAUCGCCCCUCUGAAUCAGAGCCUCGCUGACGAGGCUGGGAGCUGUUGAAAUUAGUGACAGUGCAGCCAUGUGAAGUGCUCGGACAGGUGGGAGGAAAUUUUUGGUACCUAUAAGGAGAGACGGGACUAGAGGGAACACUAUCAGGUUGGGAGGAGCAAGUAUUUAUCGGGUUCUCACAAAAUCGAGAGUCAUCUGAGUCCUCUGACAUUGGUGAAUAUUGUAAGGACAUCUCAUCCCUGGAAGCAUAAAGUUGUGAAAACAUAAUGAAAAAUCAGAUCUGCAUAAUAAAGGAAACACAAUUUUCUCUUUAUCAGGAAGAAUCAAGAUGGAGAAAGCAUGCACAUGAUUAUUAAGAGAACUCCUGUUUAAUGUAAUCUGGAAAACAAUGACUUGAAGGUUCCCUAGGAAGGGGAACACCCGAGGCCCAAUCAAACAAAGAGAAAAAAAUUGACUUGAAGGAAAGGAGAUAAAAUUUGGUGAAGGCAUACUAAUGCCUUAUAUCUGGCUAUACAAUACAAAUACAAUUCAAGUUGUUAACUUCUGUGGCAAAUCAACAAUUACCCCACACUAUGCAAAUCUAUAUUGGAUGACUGAAGACAAAAAUGAAAAUUUUAAGCAGCCACAUGAAGUACCAAACUCACCUUUUGGUUUACCACUUAAGCAAAAGGCCCAAAGUAAGACGGUUAAAAGUACGAUUACACUCUUUCAAAAGGAAGCUUAUACGAGUGCAUCACGGCCACAUCCACUCGAAACUAUACAGUCUAUACCAUCAGAUGGCCUAUUCUGUUUGAGUUGUAUGAUAUCACCAACAAACCAAAUUCGGGGAAAAAAAUAAGAACAGAAUAGGAAAUAAGUCAAAGAAAAUACAAAACGUUGAGUGCCAUAACCCAAGAAACCAUGAACACGAACCUGUAGUCCUAAGAUGUUUUACAGGCCUCGUGUGGUCUAUCGGAUUGGAUUAGAUUUGAAUAACUCAUAAAUGCAAGAUAUGUUUAUGUUUACGCAAAAAAGAGGCUGAACUAAUAUAGAAAGAUGCAAUAGCACCUAUGACCUGUGAAACUAGGCAACUUAAAACAUACAAAGUCUAAAUGUGAAGCACAAGGUUAUCAUAACAAUGAGUGAAUGACGGAGAAGAAUGGCAGUUAGUUAUGUAUGCGGAAGGAGUAUUUCAUUUGAGAAGGUUCCAAAAGCAUAUGACGAUGUUAUGGAAAGUGAUUGACAAGUUUGAUAUGAGUGUGAAAGAAGAAGUAACCUUGGAUAAAACAUGGUAUCAGACUGUGCUGGAGAUUCCAUGAGAUUGUCAGGGAGAGGGAGUGGGUCUCCAACAGUGAGUCCAUUCAAACUAGAUGCCAUAAUCUGCACUAGUGCAGUGCACAACAAACAAGUGAGUUAUGAGCGAAAUGAAGGACUAAUUUCACUUGAAACACUAACAAAAUAAGGCCUCGUGAAUGAAUUCAAUUCUGAUGGAAAUGAAUGAGAAUUCAGAGGCAGUAGAUUUUCAUUCUUGAAAGGAAAAGGAAGAUUCUUUAGUUUCAUUCCAUUAAAUAAAGUAAAGAAAUUGAAAGAAAAAGAAAAGAAAAGGAAACCUCGCUGAGAUAACGCUUGUGAGAGUGGAAAUUGUCGAGGUAAACCUCAUCUCCAGGAUCUCUGCUCCGCUUCCCAGAUGGAGAUGGUGAAGAAGACGAUGAAAUUGAUGCAGCCGAUGCAUUUGCAGAUGACGAAGAUUCUAUCUCUUGGCCACCACCACCACCUCCUGCUCCUCCGCCUCCACCCCCGCCCGAUGAGCUCGACUCCGGACGCAUAACUUUAUUUGUUAUUUCCAUUCAUGUCUCACCAAUUUCUUAAGGGAAGGGCUAUUACUGGGCUACAUAACUUUAAGGGAAAAAACCCAAUUGAAGAUCCCCUGGGCCAUUCCCCCAAGCCCAAUAAUCACAAAAUUGAAUGUGUUUUUAUUUUCCAUUUCCAUUCCUUUCAUAUGGGAAUGGGAGUUAAUUGUGUAAAGUAGAUACUAUUGAUGAAGUUCAUGUAGCUCAAGGCUUGUCUUGUUAACACACAAGAUAAUGAGAUAUGAAUGGGUAAAGAAGUUGAUUCAUCAGUUGAAUUCGAAAUGUGACGCUGUGUAUUGAAAUUGCGUGGAAAAAUACCUGUUGCAAUUAUAUUUAUAGAUUGAACAAGAUAGAAGGAAUUGAAUGAUGUUACAACAGAGUAAAAGUGAAAUAAAAAAUGUUGAGAUGAAUGCCGGAGCAAGAAAAAGAAAUGCACUUACUAAAUACUAUGGAAGUGGGAUGAAUGCCGGAGGAAUUAGGAUUAUUCCUCCCACACUGAGCAGCAACUAGCAAGCACUAAUAUUAGCUUUAAAUCAACAACAAACACGAGGACGGUCCUCAAUUAGGCCAAGGGAAUAAAAUGAACAGCCUCGUUAUUUAUAUUUAACUGAUGGAAAGACAAAAGAAUAUGAACCAAUCCUACAUAUUCGCACAAAAGAGAAACUUGUUUAGAUGUCAGGAUACAACUUUGAGCAUCCCAUCUCCAUCAUAUGAUAAGAUAUCAGGUAUGAUUAUGAUAUAAAGGGGCUGGCACUGGCACUGCCCCCGUCCGCUCCACUCUUCCUUAGCGUUUCCCGCUCAGACAUAGACACAAACAUUUGGCCUGCAAAAUACAAGUGAGAGGGAGGGAAGGGAGGAGAGUGUGCUCCUGAUGAAGUACGUGUUGGUUACAGGAGGGGUGGUCAGUGGGCUGGGCAAAGGCGUCACCGCCAGCAGCAUCGGCGUCGUCCUCAAAGCCUGCGGCCUUCGCGUCACCUCCAUCAAAAUCGGUUCCUUCUCUUUAUUCCUUCCUUCCUUUUGCUUUUACUACUUAAUCAUCUAUUCAAUUUGAUUUGAUUUGAUUUGAUUUACUCUACCUAUCUGCUGCUGCAGAUCCAUACUUGAACACAGAUGCUGGCACCAUGUCUCCCUUUGAGCAUGGUGAGGUUUUUGUGCUUGACGACGGCGGAGAGGUAAUCAUUGACUAGUUUCUUCAAUACGUAUCAAUCAGCGUUAUCUUUAUUCUUCAUGCUGCUGAGUUUGUUUAAUCUCUAAUCGUAAUUGUAGGUUGAUUUGGACCUGGGCAACUAUGAGCGCUUCCUAGAUGUAACUCUUACUAGGGAUAACAACAUUACCACUGGCAAGAUAUAUCAGGUGCUUCUAAUAACAAGGGGUGUUUGUCUGUCUUCCAUUUCAUCACUUUUAUUUUGACAUUUUGUAUUUUUAUUGUUUCGUUCCGUGUAGUCUGUUCUUGAGAAGGAGCGGAGAGGUGAUUACCUUGGCAAGACUGUUCAGGUGAUGAUACAAAAUCACAAUGUUCAUAAAUCCUACCUUUUCUUUUUUGCUUCACUUGCAUUGAAUGCUGAUGACUGCCUUUCUUUUGUGAUUUUGAGUCGAUUUAGGUGGUUCCACACAUAACUGACGCCAUUAAGACAUGGAUUGAAUCCGUUUCAGUCAUUCCUGUGGAUGGAAAAGAGGGCCCUGCAGAUGUUUGCGUGAUAGAGUUGGGAGGGACUGUCGGUAAGCAAUAGUCAAUACAUAGAGGCAUUACAUGCUUCAUUAUUCUUUCUCUGUGUUUAUGUACAAAGAUAAUUAUUCUUCUUUCUUCUUAGGUGACAUUGAAUCAAUGCCAUUCAUUGAGGCUCUGCGCCAAUUGUCCUUUUCAGUUGGUAAGGUUGUGGUUUAUUCUGUUCUUUUGAGGAAUUUUUUUAUUCUGCUUAUGAGAUAAUUUCUGCACCCAUAUGUUGGCUUUCAAUUGUUUAUCAUGUUUCUAUGCUGUGUGAUCAAUAUAUAUCUUCCAAUGACUGCUCUAGGAAUACGCAGUACGUACGGUUUAGGUUUCUGGUCUGAUAUGUUAUGAGCAGCUUUGCAAUAAUAAAAUUGAUAUAAUCCAAUUUUAUUCCAAUGUUAUUGAGAUUUUAUGUGGUGCUUUUUUGUAUUUUUGUUGGCCGGGGUAUAGAUGCAAUGAAACAAUGCUUAUCCAGAUUUAAAAGUAACUAACUAUUUCCUUUUGGAGUUGACAUGCAAUUUGAUCUUGAAUUACAUGGAUGUUAAAUGAUAAUUGCUGGUUUUGAUUUAAUUCUUUUGUCAGGGCAAGAGAACUUCUGUCUUAUUCAUGUGAGCCUGAUACCAGUGCUGGGUGUUGUUGGAGAGCAAGUAAGAUCCCACUACUUAAUUAUUGAGUGUUACGUUUCUUCAUUAGUUCGUCAUGCAAGCUUGUAAGUUUAGAAUCAAAAUUGAUUAUAUUUUACGAAGAAUUUGCUUAAUUUUGUAUCUUUCUUACUUUCUUUUCAUGUUUGUAAUUCAUGCAGAAAACAAAGCCUACACAACAUAGUGUGCGGGAACUAAGAGCAUUAGGUUUGACUCCUCAUCUAUUAGCAUGUCGCUCUGCAGAGGUACAUCUUUUCACCUAUCUAUUAACCUUAGAAGCUUUUCUUUAGUUUCCAUUUAAGACUUGCUUGGACACCUACAUUGGUGCAGUGAGAUCACCCGAUUCCCCUUGUGCUUUACUCUACCAUUAUUUUGCCAAGGUUAAUUUUUGUGCAGAUAUAAUACUUUUUUUUUUGGUGACUGCAUGGCAGCCUUUGUUGGAAAAUACUAAGCAGAAACUUUCACAAUUUUGUCAUGUUACAGUAAGUUGUUGCUGAAUAAUUCUACGUGGCCUCUUUCUAAAUUUCUUUAAUCAAACUUCAUUUUCUGAUUACAAAUUUUAAAUUUCAUUUAUGCUUUUUUACAGGCUGGUAAUAUUCUUAAUAUCCACGAUGUACCAAACAUUUGGCACGUUCCUCUCUUACUUAGGGUGGGUUCUAUAACAAUUAUCUGUCUCCUUGGUGGCUUCAUACUUUAUUUCAAAAUUUUAUCUAAACUAUUGUUCUAAAUUGUUGUUCAGAAUCAAAACGCUCAUCAUUCAAUUCUUCAACAACUAAAUCUACUAAGGUAUGUUCUCACCAUUACUUCACAUGUAAGGCUUCAACUUUUGUGCUCGAUUGUUGAUCAGCAUCAGCUUAUUUAAAUUCUUCUUGUGUAAUGAUGCCAAGGCAAUCUCUUUAUAGAAUACUGUCUGACUUGGAUUCUUUUAGUUGAUAUAUGUGCUCUCUCUGAAUGCUGCCUAAAUAUAGGAAGGCAAACAGCAUGAAGUUUGGCUAUUUUAAGUUACCGGUGUUUAAUUUUCUGUUUCAGCAUUGCCAUGCCUCCUGAUUUAAGAGAUUGGACCAAGAUGGCAGAGACUUACGAUAACCUCACCAAUUCUGUUAGUAUUAUUAGAUAAUUGUGCAAUGCUCGAUCAAACAUUCUCUCUUUUGGUUUUUUCAUUCACCAGAUGAGAAUUUUAUAUUUGCAGGUGAGGAUUGCCAUGGUGGGGAAGUAUGUGGGCCUUGCAGAUUCUUACUUGUCCGUAGUAAAGGUGCAAUGGUAGCUUCUAUUCUAUUAUUAGGAAGGGUCAUAGGAUGGUGUAUCUUUACUAAGACUGGAAUUCAUUAGUAAUUUUUCAUGAAAAAAAUUAGUUAUUGCAUGUUGUAGUGCAAAUAUGAGUGUAUGGCUCCUUGUGCAAUGCAUGCUUAUUAGAUUAUAUAUGUUAAUAAGUCACCGCCUACACAUGUAUUUUACCAUAAAUGCUUGCUGAUAUAUAAUUCUGAACAAUAUGGCAAUCUGGACCCCAAAAUAUAAAUACAACAACAACAAAGCCUUUUACCACUAAGUGGGGUCGGCUAUAUGAAUCCUAGAACGCCAUUGCGCUCGGUUUUGUGUCAUGUCCUCCGUUAGAUCCAAGUACUCAAGUCUUUUCUUAGGGCAUCUUCCAAAGUUUUCCUAGGUCUUCCUCUACCCCUUCGGCCCUGAACCUCUGUCCUGUAGUCACAUUUUCGAACCGGAGCGUCAGUAGGCCUUCUUUGCACAUGUCCAAACCACCGGAACCGAUUUUCUCUCAUAUUUCCUUCAAUUUUGGCUACUCCUACUUUACCUCGGAUAUCCUUAUUCCCAAUCUUAUCCUUUCUCGUGUGCCCAUACAUCCCACGAAGCAUCCUCAUCUCCGCUACACCCAUUUUGUGUACGUGUUGAUGCUUCACCGCCCAACAUUCUGUGCCAUACAACAUCGCUGACCUUAUUGCCGUCCUAUAAAUAAAAUUUUCCCUUGAGCUUCAGUGGCCUACGACGGUCACACAACACGCCGGAUGCACUCUUACACUUCAUCCAUCCAGCUUGUAUUCUAUGGUUGAGAUCUCCAUCUAAUUCUCCGUUCUCUUGCAAGAUAGAUCCUAGGUAGCGAAAACGGUCACUUUUUUGUGAUCUUCGCUAGAUUGCUCCGGUCAUUAGUGUGGAUAAGUAUAUAAAUGGAUAGAGAUAGGAAAGCAAACACAAGAUGUACGUGGUUCACCCAGAUUGGCUACGUCCACGGAAUAGAGGAGUUCUCAUUAAUUGUGAAGGGUUUACACAAGUACAUAGGUUCAAGCUCUCCUUUAGUGAGUACAAGUGAAUGAUUUAGUACAAAUGACAUUAGGAAAUAUUGUGGGAGAAUGAUCUCGUAACCACGAAACUUCUAAGUACCGGAGUGUGGUAUCGUCUUGACUUGCCUUAUCUGUCUCAUAGGUAGAUGUGGCAUCUUCUCUGGAAGUACUCUUCCUCCAUCCAGGGGUGGUAUCUGUAACUGGUGGAGAUGCACAAGGUAAUGUAUCAAUUUCACUUGAAGCUUACUUGUAGUUUCAGGCUUGGUCAAGCGCGAUACAAACCAUGUAGUAGGAGUCCCCAAGUCGCCGAGCUAGGGGAUCUGCUGAAAGAGGUGACAGACAAGGUAAGCAAUCAGAGCUCCGGCUGAUUGUUCACAUUCUCCCUAUCUUGCAGGCAGCAUGAAGGAUAAAGAGAAGAAAAAUGAGAAGAGAUGAUAUGGGAUACUUUUGCUUUUUGAAGAAGUAACUUUCCACAGGCUUAUUCUUGAACUGGGCUGGAGGGUUUUCUGGUUUCCUCCAGAGUAUAAGGCCGACUGAAGAAUUUGAGGGUCAAAACAAGUCCAUCAAAUCUAGAGUACGUUCGACCCUGCUGAUAUGGGAUACUUUUGCUUUUGACAGAGUAGUGGAUGUAUCGGCACGUGUGCUGUUACGCUUGUCUCCACAUGCUUCCUUGUAUCCUUCUCACUUGCCCUAUCUGUUCCUCAGGCAGAUGCGGUAUCUUCCCUGGAAGCAUAAGAUGUUGAAGAUGAGUACUCGAGAGCAAUGCCAGGUAAGUAAUCAGGUAAGGGGUUCCAGGCAGUCAGUUCCUGGCUGGAAGCUUGAUUCCAAGUGCUGACUGAUUGCUCUCUUUCUCCUUGUCUUGCAGGUAAGAACAAGGCCAAAGGAAAAGACAGGGAAAAAGCAUGAUAUGGGAUACUCUUGCUUUUAACCCUGAUGAUAUGAGAUAUUCUUGCUCUAGUAUAGCUUGUUUACAGAGGUAUUAUCGGGGGGAAAGAAAGCUGAAUAUUUCGAAAGGCUUCGUUGGGAGUGCCCUCUCAGAUAAGAGGAAGGGUUGAGCAUUUUUGCAGGUCUGCCUGUCCGUUGGGGAUGGAGGUCGACAUAUAUAGGAGUCUCCCUAACAUCAAGUAAUAAUGCUAUUCCUUUACCCUGCUUGGUCAUAGCACGGUAGUGGGAGCUGCCAGCUUCACAUGUUUUAACUCUGUCAGAGCACUUUGAAAAAGUGGUCUGUGGUAUCUGGAAAGCUGAUGUUGCGUGUGAAGAUUACAGACAGUUUUCGAACAAGCAAUCCUGUCGGGGAUCCGGCUCUCGAGAUUCGGAGAACGAUGCCUCUUCGAUUUUUUGAGAAAGCAAUCCUGCUGGGGGUCUGGCUCUCGAGAUUCGGAGAGCGAUGUCUUCGAUUUUUGAGAAAGUAAUCAUGUUGGGAGUCUGGCUCUCGAGAUUCGGAGGGCGGUGCCUCUUCGAUUUUGGAGCAAGCAAUCUUGUUGGGAGUGUUUUCUCGAAUGUGAGUAAAGGUUGGGCAUGUUUGCUAGUCUACCUUGCCACGAAGCACAGAGGUUGACACACAGGGACUUUCCAAUUAUCCAGCAGUGGUACUGUUCCUUUACCCUCUCUUCGAUUUUUGAGAAAGUAAUCAUGUUGGGAGUCUGGCUCUCGAGAUUCGGAGGGCGGUGCCUCUUCGAUUUUGGAGCAAGCAAUCUUGUUGGGAGUGUUUUCUCGAAUGUGAGUAAAGGUUGGGCAUGUUUGCUAGUCUACCUUGCCACGAAGCACAGAGGUUGACACACAGGGACUUUCCAAUUAUCCAGCAGUGGUACUGUUCCUUUACCCUCUCUUCGAUUUUUGAGAAAGUAAUCAUGUUGGGAGUCUGGCUCUCGAGAUUCGGAGGACGGUGCCUCUUCGAUUUUGGAGCAAGCAAUCUUGUUGGGAGUGUUUUCUCGAAUGUGAGUAAAGGUUGGGCAUGUUUGCUAGUCUACCUUGCCACGAAGCACAGAGGUUGACACACAGGGACUUUCCAAUUAUCCAGCAGUGGUACUGUUCCUUUACCCUUGUGGGUAAUAAUAUGGUAGCUAGACCUUCAAAAUUUAUGUGUCUAAACUUUGUUAGUGUUGUUUCUUUGCUAUUCUUUUACCCUUCUUGGUCAGAGCGAUGUAGUGGGAGCUGCAAGCUUCACGUGCUCAACUUUGGCAGAGAACUUUGGCAAAGUUAUCUGUGGUACCCAUGAGCUACUUGUUGCGUGUGGGAAGUGGGUGAUUGAACAGUAAGAUUCAUGUGCUUUCUACUUCCCAGAAAUCUUCGACAGAAUGCCCAUAAUUUCCGCAAAGCUGAGUGUGCGUGUGACAGGUGCUGACAAGGCUGGAAAAGUAGGUGCCUCUUCGAUUUCUGAGAUCGGCCCUCGUGGUCUCUGAGCAGCCCAGCUUUUGAGAAAGCAAGCGCCUCUUCGAUUUCUGAGAUCGGCCUUCGUGGUCUUUGAGCAGCCCAGCUUUUGAGAAAAGCAAACGCCUCUUCGAUUUCUGAGAUCGAACCCUCGUGGUCUCUGAAGCAGCCCAGCUUUUGAGAAAAGCAAACGCCUCUUCGAUUUCUGAGCAGGCGCCUCUUCGAUUUCUGAAGCUUCCGUCGAGUGCAGAUUUUUAUAGGGGCUGGCAUUAAGUUCCAAAGCACACUUGAAUCUCCACCAGUAGAAGCUCCAUUCUUGCACUUCUAAGAUCUUGAUUUGUCCGACCUCUUCUCUCUUCAACACCUUUGAAAAUGUCUGGCCCCUCCGACCGUCGUUUUGACUUGAACCUUGUUGAAGAGGCAGCCCCGCCUUCUCCAGACAACAUAUGGCGCCCAUCCUUCGUCUCCCCUACUGGUCCUCUUACCGUUGGGGAUUCCGUGAUGAAGAAUGAUAUGACCGCUGCGGUGGUGGCCAGGAACCUUCUCACUCCCAAAGAUAACAGACUACUUUCCAAACGGUCUGAUGAGUUAGGCUGUUAAGGAUUCGCUCUGGCUCUCAGUGUUCAGUGUGCAGGUUCUGUGUCUAAUAUGGCCCAACGCCUAUUUGCUCGAACCCGCCAAGUUGAAUCAUUGGCGGCUGAAGUGAUGAGUCUCAAACAGGAGAUUAGAGGGCUCAAGCAUGAGAAUAAACAGUUGCACCGGCUCGCACAUGACUAUGCUACAAACAUGAAGAGGAAGCUUGACCAGAUGAAGGAAUCUGAUGGUCAGGUUUUACUUGAUCAUCAGAGAUUUGUGGGUUUGUUCCAAAGGCAUUUAUUGCCUUCGUCUUCUGGGGCUGUACCGCGUAAUGAAGCUCCAAAUGAUCAACCUCUGAUGCCUCCUCCUUCUAGGGUUCUGUCCAGUACUGAGGCUCCGAAUGAUCCCCCUCCGGUGCCUUCUCUUUCUGGGGCUCUACCGACUGCUGAGACUUCUCCUAAGCAACCUUUGUGAAGGCUCCCUCUUGUUUGUUUAUUUUGACUCAUGUAUAUGUACAUAUUUGUAGCUUAUCGGGGAUAUCAAUAAAUAAGCUUUCCUUCAUUUCAACGUAUUGUGUUAAAUACACCAAAGCCUUCUUCGCUAAGUUCUUUGAAUUUUCUUUUGUUGAAGCUUGUAUGUUGAAGCUUUCUGAGUGGAGCAUGUAGGUUGAGGUAGUGUUCCCUUAAUUUCCCGAGUGAGGAAAACUUCUCGGUUGGAGACUUGGAAAAUCCAAGUCACUGAGUGGGAUCGGCUAUAUGAAUCUUAGAACGCCAUUGUGCUCGAUCCUGUGUCAUGUCCUCCGUUAGAUCCAAGUACUCUAAGUCUUUUCUUAGAGUCUCUUCCAAAGUUUUCCUAGGUCUUCCUCUACCCCUUCGGCCCUGAACCUCUGUCCCAUAGUCGCAUCUUCUAAUCGGAGCGUCAGUAGGCCUUCUUUGCACAUGUCCAAACCACCGUAACCGAUUUUCUCUCAUCUUUCCUUCAAUUUCGGCUACUCCUACUUUACCCCGGAUAUCCUCAUUCCUAAUCUUAUCCUUUCUCGUGUGCCCACACAUCCAACGAAGCAUCCUCAUCUCCGCUACACCCAUUUUGUGUACGUGUUGAUGCUUCACCGCCCAACAUUCUGUGCCAUACAGCAUCGCCGGCCUUAUUGCCGUCCUAUAAAAUUUUCCCUUGAGCUUCAGUGGCAUACGGCGGUCACACAACACGCCGGAUGCACUCUUCCACUUCAUCCAUCCAGCUUGUAUUCUAUGGUUGAGAUCUCCAUCUAAUUCUCCGUUCUUUUGCAAGAUAGAUCCUAGGUAACGAAAACGGUCGCUCUUUGGUAUUUCUUGAUCUCCGAUCCUCACCCCUAACUCGUUUUGGCCUCCAUUUGCACUGAACUUGCACUCCAUAUAUUCUGUCUUUGAUCGGCUUAGGCGAAGACCUUUAGAUUCCAACACUUCUCUCCAAAGGUUAAGCUUUGCAUUUACCCCUUCCUGAGUUUCAUCUAUCAACACUAUAUCGUCUGCGAAAAGCAUACACCAAGGAAUAUCAUCUUGAAUAUGUCCUGUUAACUCAUCCAUUACCAACGCAAAAAGGUAAGGACUUAAGGAUGAGCCUUGAUGUAAUCCUACAGUUAUGGGAAAGCUUUCGGUUUGUCCUUCAUGAGUUCUUACGGCAGUCUUUGCUCCUUCAUACAUAUCCUUUAUAGCUUGGAUAUAUGCUACUCGUACUCCUUUCUUCUCUAAAAUCCUCCAAAGAAUGUCUCUUGGGACCCUAUCAUACGCUUUUUCCAAAUCUAUAAAGACCAUGUGUAAAUCCUUUUUCCCAUCUCUAUAUCUUUCCAUCAAUCUUCGUAAGAGAUAGAUUGCCUCCAUGGUUGAGCGCCCUGGCAUGAACCCGAAUUGGUUGUCCGAAACCCGUGUCUCUUGCCUCAAUCUAUGCUCAAUGACUCUCUCCCAGAGCUUCAUUGUAUGACUCAUUAGCUUAAUACCCCUAUAGUUCAUGCAAUUUUGUACGUCGCCCUUAUUCUUGUAGAUAGGCACCAAAGUGCUCGUUCGCCACUCAUUUGGCAUCUUCUUCGUUUUCAAAAUCCUAUUGAAAAGGUCAGUGAGCCAUGUUAUACCUGUCUCUCCCAAAACUUUCCACACUUCGAUUGGUAUAUCGUCUGGGCCUACUUGCUUUUCUAUGCUUCAUCUUCUUCAAAGCUACAACCACUUCUUCCUUCCGGAUUCGACGAUAAAAAGAGUAGUUUCUACACUCUUCUGAGUUACUCAACUCCCCUAAAGAAGCACUCCUUUCAUGUCCUUCAUUGAAAAGAUUAUGAAAAUAACCUCUCCAUCUGUCUUUAACCGCGUUCUCUGUAGCAAGAACCUUUCCAUCCUCAUCCUUGAUGCACCUCACUUGGUUUAGGUCCCUUGUCUUCUUUUCCCUUGCUCUAGCUAGUUUAUAGAUAUCCAACUCUCUCUUCUUUGGUAUCUAGUCGCUUUAUACAUAUCGUCAUAAGCCGCUAACUUAGCUUCUCUGACAGCUUUCUUCGCCUCUUGCUUCGCUUUUCUAUACCUUUCACCAUUUUCAUCGGUCCUAUCCUUGUAUAAGGCUUUACAACAUUCCUUCUUAGCCUUCACCUUUGUUUGUACCUCCUCAUUCCACCACCAAGAUUCCUUUUGGUGUGGGGCAAAGCCCUUGGACUCUCCUAAUACCUCUUUUGCUACUUUUCGGAUACAACUAGCCAUGGAAUCCCACAUUUGGCUAGCUUCCCCCUCUCUAUCCCACACACACUUGGGUGAUUACUUUCUCUUUGAAAAUGACUUGUUUUUCUUCUUUUAGAUUCCACCAUCUAGUCCUUGGGCACUUCCAAGUCUUGUUCUUUUGUCUCACUCUUUUGAUAUGUACAUCCAUCACCAACAAGCGAUGUUGAUUAGCCACGCUCUCUCCUGGUAUAACUUUGCAAUCCUUACAAGUUAUACGAUCCCCUUUCCUCAUUAGAAGAAAAUCUAUUUGUGUUUUUUUGACGACCCACUCUUGUAGGUGAUCACAUGUUCUUCUCUCUUCUUAAAGAAGGUGUUGGCUAAGAAGAGAUCAUAUGCCAUUGCAAAAUCCAAGAUAGCUUCCCCAUCCUCGUUUCUCUCCCCAAAACCAUGGCCACCAUGAAAACCUCCAUAGUUGCCUGUCUCCCUGCCCACGUGUCCAUUUAAAUCUCCUCCUAUAAAUAACUUCUCCGUCUGAGCAAUUCCUUGCACCAAGUCUCCAAGGUCUUCCCAAAAUUUCUCCUUCGAACUCGUAUCCAACCCUACUUGAGGUGCGUACGCACUAAUCACAUUGAUAAGUUCUUGUCCUAUUACAAUCUUGAUUGCCAUGAUUCUAUCUCCUACCCUCUUGACAUCUACAACAUCUUGUGUCCAAGGUCUUGUCCACGAUGAUGCCAACACCGUUUCUCGUUCUAUUUGUGUGCCCGAAUACCAAAGUUUAAACCCUGAGUUUUCUAGAUCCUUUGCCUUACUACCAACCCACUUAGUUUCUUGUAGGCACAUAAUAUUUAUCCUUCUCCUCACCAUAACUUCCACUACUUCCAUAGAUUUUCCCGUCAAGGUUCCUAUAUUCCACGUUCCUAAACGCAUUUUGCUCUCUUGAACUCUACCCUUCUGUCCUAGCUUCUUCACCCUUCCCGUCUAAUAGGAUCAAAGUACUUCUUUUGUGUGUCCCGUGUAAAGUUGAUAGGAGCAUAUGCUCCCAAACAACUUUGAGUGGAGUCGUUCGAAAAGAAGUUUCUAUAGCCCCCUUGCUCAUUUAACACUGCAUCCGGGUGCCGAUGGAGAUACAGCGACCCUUGCUCACUUAUCACUGUGCUCGGGCCACACUGAACCCCAAAAUAUAAAUAUUUUGCUAAAUUUGUCUCACAGGCCCUUCUGCAUGCUUGUGUUGUUGCUUGUUCUUUAAAGCCAUCAAUUGACUGGAUUGCUGCUUCUGACCUUGAAGAUGAUAGUGCCAAACUGGUAUUGAACAAUUACACUCCUCUUUUUGCAGAAUUUGGUUUUACGUCUAUUAUUUUGUCUUUUCUUAAGAUUUGUUUUUCAUACAGAUACCAGAAGCACAUGCUGCUGCAUGGGGGACCCUGAAGGUAUUCUUUAAGCUAAAUUAUCGUCUCCUAGCCUGUUGUACAGUUUAUGCUUUGAUCUAUUCUAUAUUUGCAGAAUGCAGCAUGUGUCUUGGUUCCUGGUGGAUUUGGAGAUCGUGGUGUGAGAGGUAUGAUAUUAGCUGCAAAGUAUGCCAGAGAGAACAAUGUUCCUUAUCUCGGGAUUUGUUUGGGCAUGCAGAUUUCAGUGAUUGAAUUUGCGAGAUCUGUAAGCAACGUUUGCUUAACUAACAGGUUUUAUUCUUUAUUUAAGAUCAUGUAUCAUCCCUACUUUAAUUACUUGUUUUAGGUUUUGGGUUUAGAAAGGGCAGACAGCACAGAGUUUAAUGCACAGACACCGAAUCCUGUUGUAAUUUUUAUGCCUGAGGUACAAAUUUAUGGUGAUGUUUACCUCUUUAAUUUUAAAAUAAGUAUGGCUUCAACCUUCGCCCCAUGAUGGUUAAUUUUUUUGUAUGAGUAAAGGGAUCAAGAACACACAUGGGAAGCACAAUGAGACUGGGAUCCAGAAGAACACUUUUCCAAGCUCCUGAUUGCACUACUUCAAAGCUGUAUGUGCAAUAUCUAUAACUGUGUUCAAUGUAGAAAUCAUAGAAUAGCCAGCCGGUUACUACAAAAUGAAAUUAUAACUUCAGGUACCUCUGCUGAAUUUAUACAGUAAAAUCAAUGCAUGUGCCAUGUGUUCCAACUUCCAAGUCUGUCGGUCUGAAAAGGACACAUGGCACAAGCUAUAGAACUUUAUUGCAUUUAUACUGUAAAAUUUUGAACUUUCUUGGUCAACGAACUAUUUUGCAUGCGGCCUUUGAUGACCUCUCUGCUAUGUGUUGCGUCUGCGGUUGCUUUUGUCAAAACAAAUCCCACAAGACCACUUUAAAGUUCUCCAUGUUUAAGAGUAUAGGGUACAUGCCUGAUGUGUUAUUGCUAUCAAUUGCUAGGUACCAUAACUCAGAGUAUGUGGAUGAACGCCACAGGCACAGAUAUGAGGUUUGUUGUAAAUUUAUUUAGGUGAAAAACAUGAUGUUUCAGAAGCAUGUUUUACGUAGUGUACAUGGUCUUAUUUCAUCAUGAUGCAGGUGAACCCAGAUGUUAUUGGAGUUCUUGAAGAAGCUGGCCUGAAAUUUGUAGGGAAGGAUAACAGUGGGAGACGAAUGGAGGUGGGUUUUCUGUUGAGUUUGAUGCUUUGUUGAACUUGAGCAUUGUCAGAAUUUAUUUGGUUAUUAUUGCAAAAAUUCCUUUCUUAUCAUUACUUUGAAGAUUUAUUUUUUACAUGAUUUGUGUUUGUUCUGGUGUUUUUCUCUUCUGCAGAUUUUAGAGCUUCCAAGUCAUCCAUUCUAUGUAGGAGUGCAAUUUCAUCCAGAAUUUAAAUCACGGCCUGGGAGGCCCUCUCCUCUAUUUUUAGGUACUUUGACACACAAGUGAACCAUAGAUGUCAUAGACUCACAUUUACCGUUCUUUCUUGGAAACAUGUGUACACUAUGACAUCCAUCAUGGAAUUACCAUGUAGCGCAGAUCUAUCUUACUCAAAGUGGAGAGAUUAUUGGACAUGUUUGUGUCGGAAUAGACUUGUCUAUUACAAUUCUCAUUUUUAUUCGGUUGAUUUCUACCCAGUCCUUGGAUCUCUGAACUUGAGUUGACAUAUGUGACGUUGCAACUGUAGGUCUUAUCUUGGCAGCAACAGGACAGUUGGAAACAUAUCUUGACCAGAAUCAAAAUUCUAGUUUGACAGCAUUGGAUCUCUCUCAAUAGUUCCAGAUCAUUAGUUCAAGGUAGGUUUGUAAUUUGAAUGUGAGAGGUCCCAUAGAAGAAGAAUUGGACUUGCGUUGUAGCUGUUUGUGCAUUGUUCCCCCUGGCUCUUCUGAAUGUGGGUGAGAAAGGGGGAUGGGAAUGGGUUGGAUCGUCUCAAGACUCACGACAUUCUGUGCUCCGUAUGCAUAAAUAGGUGCAUCUUAGGUGUCAGUUAAGUGAUUAUGUUGAACAGUGUCUGUCUGGUUUGGGACAGGGUUGGAUUACAGUAUGACCAAGGAGGGAAGGGGUGUCUAUUUCAUCUGGGAAGAGACAGAUAUGUUUCUCUUCAUCUAUACAAAAUGGUAGACAGUAUUCCCUUGAUGGUUAUGAGAAUGGGCAUGGAUGCCUAUUGAUGGUUCUUAGUGUAGUAAAAAACUAAUGCAUUGUCUUUUUUUUGUUACAAUGGCAGAUAAACGUAUGGAAGUUUAUGAAAGUAGAUCCUGAUUGUGGAGCAAGGGUGUUGAUGCAGUUGGACAAUUUAUCAGGUUGCUGAUCGAUCAGUUGAAAGCAGAUACAAAUUCUAGGUCAUUAGAAGGAUUCAUUUAGUAGAUUGUUCAAACAUAUCGGGAAUUUGAAUGAUAUUGUUGUUUGGCGAUAUUAAUUACUUGUUGGCAUUCAAGAGUUUCCAUAUUCGGAAUGAAUACUUUUGAAACUUUUCGAAUUUUGUCCUCAUCAUUUAUUAGCACUUAAAAAUGCCGACAUUUUUUAAAUUCAGUUGUAAGCUGCUGCUUGUAUGUGUGAGAUGAUUGUAGUUACAUACAAUGUAAUGGGAAGCCUAAGCCUACAGUAUCUACAAAAUAUGCCGCAAUGCUAUGCCUCUUCUUUUACAAAAUAAAUACAAUGUAGCUCAGUACAGUAAAGUAGACUAGUGGAGCGGAAUUGAACCCAAAAACAAAAAAACAAAAGCAAAAGAAGGCCGCAAUGCGAUGGCUGUCCUGCGUGUUACUGUUUUGGUCGUCUGUCUGUCUGUCUGUCUUGUCCCUGGAUCUGGAAUUGCGGAAUUGCGGAAUUCUGGAGGAAUUGUGGAAUGUGGAUGGACCAUGUGAAUGAUAUUGUGAUUAAUUUAACAUGUGAGGUUCUGAGUGUUGUGUCGGUAUGAAAUCUGUCUUUGGAGCUUCAUUUGCUGGUAGAACUUAGCUAUGAACUCAUCUGCCUUUAUGUCAACCGAUUCCUCUAACUCCUCGUAAAUAUUGUUUUUAUAAGCUGUGGCAGGAGAAAGAGUAACCCUUUCUUCCUCAUCAUCCUGAAUAAUAUCACGGCCAUCAUCCUUCUCAUCACAUUUGAUAAGAAAGCUCUGUCUUGCAGUACUAGCAUCAUCCUCAUCAUCAUCGUCAUAGUAGCAGUAGCGGCAAUCGUUUGAUUGAUAUCCGUGGUUAUUGAUGAUCAUGUCGACUUGAUCAUCAUCAAAAUAAUCAAGUACUAAUGGUGCGUUUAGGCAAGGGAUGUUGUUGAUGAAGCACAUGGAGGAGGAGCGGGAGCAGCUGGUUUUGGUUUUGAGGGUGGGGAAAAUUGGGGUCUUGUCGAACGACAGCUGCCGCUCGAAGUAAUACUGAUGCUGCUUCUGCUGCUGCAUGUGCAUAAGCAAGUGGGCGAAGCUACUCUUGAGCAACUGGGGGACGAUGCGCAGUUUCAUCAUGAGGCGUCGCCUGAAAACACCGCCCUUUCUUGCCCAAAGCAAUGCCAGACGCAGCAGCUUCCACGCUCUAUGUGUUGGUCUUGGUCGACCGACGUCAUCAUCAUUACCAUUUGAUGAUUUCUUCUUCGACAUCUUCAUCAAUGUCAUCGUCGUCUUCAGUUCAGUCUUGAGCAAUUGAUUAGCUGGUGGAAGCAGAGUAGAGGUGCUACUAACGUAGGUAGAUUCAAAAUGUGGCCUGGUAGUGGUAGUGGUAGACCAGAAAGAGAGAAAGUGACAAAUUGAUCACAAAAAAUUGGCUAAUAAAUUACAGUUUGAUGAGAGCGAGCUGAAAAUUUUCUAUGAUGCGGUGAGUGGUGAUUGGUGUUGUCUUGGAAGGCUCGUAUAUAUACAUAUGGGAACUCACAGGAGGAGGUAGCCAUUUAUACAAUACAUGAUUAGUAAUAUAUAUUAUAUAAAUAAAUAGAUAUAUGAGAGGAAUCUUUGUAUUUUACGCGGUGGUUGCUAAUGAUGUGUGUGAUUUGCUUAGAGGAGAUUAGUGUGGAAGGUGGGAACUCGAUUGUUGUAGGGGACACGGUUGUUAUACGCGGGAGGAAGCAAGCUCGAACCUCCCCUUCCGCUUCAUUCAUCGGUUUCCAAUUUUCAAAUACAAUAUUACUUCAGCUCUCUUACAUGACCACGUUGUACUAUAAGGACGCGUUUGUUUGACCUUGUUAAGUUUCACUGGACUGACUAGGAUUACUAGUCAGUGUAAUCCCAUGUUUGUUUCUUGCAUGGAUUAAUUUAAUUGAGACUAGCAGGGACUCGCUCCGACUAUGUGCUUUAGCUAAAGACCCCAAAAUCAGGCGGACUGCUAAGACCUUCGCCCCUCCCAUCUAUGUCUUCUUCUUCGCUUCACCCCUCCCCCCGCACUUCGCUCCACAUCGACAGAGACUCCACGGUUGGAUCGAUAUCGCGGCUCCUGUGGCCUCGUCUCGCUGGAUCUGGGUUCGCCGACUGCCUCAACGUGCUGAAUAUGGGAUCAAUUUUCUUUUUGGAAUUGCCCUUCUUUAUGUGUUUUGUUGAUUGAAUUGUUGUGGGUUAGUUUUGGAUUGUGUUAUUUGGGGAUUUUGGCAUCUAGGUUGGUGAAGUUUUGUGGGUUUUUCUACUUGGGUUUUGGCAGUUGAGGCUCAGACUUUCAGAAAUUUUGGAUGGGUUUUUGGAACAGAUGGGGGAUAUGCCUUGCAAUUCGAUGGGUUUGGAACAUAUGGGUUUUGGAACAGAUGGGGUCGAAGUUGCAGAGUACCUGCAAUUCGAGAAGAAGAAGAGGGAUAUGCCCUUUUUUUAUUCAUAUAUUAAUUUAAAAUAUAAUAAUAAUUUUUAGUUAGUCCAUCUUCUUAGUUCGACACUGCACCAAACGCUUCACUAAACUAGUCCAGCUUAGUCUAUUCUAAGCCAGUCCAACUUAGUCUCUGAAGCUAGUCCAGUCUGAGAUAGUCCGGUGCAACAAACGCACCCUAAACGUUAUAACUUGAGUUGUUCAUUUUUUUUUAGAGAUAAUCUUUAGAUGACGAUAAAGAGAAAAUAAAUGAUUUAGAUUAUGAUAUCUCGUAAAGUAAAAUGAUAUAACCUCAUCAUGUAUAGAGAAAGUAAGGAAGAUUGACUUCUGAUAUGUAAGAAGUCAAACUGUGUCUAAAUAUUUAUAGGGUAAAUUACACUUUCAUACCUCAGGUUUGGGGUCUAUUUCAAUUCCUUACAACAUCUCCAAAACAUUUCACUUUCAUACCUUAAGUACUAUUUUAUUUCAAAAUAAUAGAUCCGUUACAUUUUCCAUCCAUUGAUCCGUUAAAUGCUAACGUGGCUGCUACGUGGCAAAUAAAAUAAUUUUUUUAAAAAACCUGAAUUUUCUCAAAAAAAAAAAAAAAAAAAAAAAAUUUGAAACCAGUGCCUUCCCCCGCGCCCCCCCCCCCCCCCGGUGACCCUAACCCAAAACCCAAAAACCUGCAAGAAGAGGGAGAAAAGAAAAAAAAAGCCCCAAUUCGUCCCACCCGAGCCACCCCUUUCUCCCAUCCCCCAUCACCCCUCCCAAAAAAUCCCCCAUCCCCCAUCCCCAAAAAUUUCACCCGAGAUUAGGUGGAUCUACCACAAAACCAGUCUAAAAUCAUCUCAAACUCAAGGUAUUUUCAAAACCCACCCAUACUAUCUUGACCCGUGGUGGGCGGGGAAGGGGGGGAAGGGGGUAAGGUACGCGCUGGGGGGGGGGGGGACGAAUUGGGUUUGAGGUUUUUUUUCCCUUCUUCUUCUUUAUGCUGCUGCUGCAGGUUUUUUUUUUUUUUCUUCUUCUUCUUCUUCUUCUUCUUCUUCUUCUUACUGCUGCUACAGGUUUUUUGGAUUCUGGGUUAGGGAUAGGGAUGUGGGUCGCUGGGGGGGGGGGGGGAGGGAUAGUGGGUUUAAUUUUUAUUUUUGUUUGAGAAAAUUCAGGUUUAAAAAAAAUAUUUUAUUUGCCACGUGACAUAUAUGUGGCAGACACGUCAGCAUUUAACAGAUCAAUGGAUGGAAAAUGUAACGGAUGUAUUAUUUUGAAACAAAAUAGUACUUAAGGUAUGAAAGUGAAAUGUUUUGAAAAUAUUGUAAGGAAUUAAAAUAGCCCUCAAACCUGAGGUAUAAAAAUGUAAUUUACCCAUAUUUAUAUAACCCGUCAUUCCUUUCCCUACACUACUUUUUUUGUUUUGUUUCUUGCUAUACUACUAUUUUGUUAUUGUUAAUCUGUACGCCACCAAAUACGGGAAAUUAAUAUCUACACCAAGUACAUAAACUUGUAAGAAAUUAUGCACCCGGUUUGACCCUUAAUGCGUUAUAACUUGCAAGUCAACAAUAUUAUUAACUAAGGCUUAUGAUAGGCAAGAAACUUCUACUUUUCAACAAAACUAUUAAGUUAGAUCUGAGGGACAAUAUAUAUUUGUUCUAGCUGUUGCCAUAUAGUAUAUAACUCAUAUUUAAUGAUGGGUUUCGACGAAAUAUAUAUGUAAUUGAUGAUACUAAGCGACUCGCGGGGCAGCCAUUUGAAUUUUGAAUAGGUCAAUGCCAAUUAUUUGAGCAACAAAUACAUAAAGUUAUAAACUAGCACAAUCAACGCAGCUUUUGAUUAGUUGGAUUUUGCUGGAUCUUACCUGACAUACCACCGUUUCCUUGUUUGUUUCCUUAGAAGAGGAUGAUCUCUGGAUUUAUUUUGUUGGGAUCCUAGGGAUCUCUAUAUUUUAGCCGUUCAUCGUAUAUCGAACGAUCAGUUUUUAUCAGGUACUAUUUGUGUUUAAUUUUAAAUAAAAAAUCAAAUAAUUUCUAACCGCACGAUACACGAUGAAUGACUAUGAAUCAAGAAUCCCUAUGAUCCUCACAAUUUGGAUCCGGAUGGGAUCCAAUUCCUGUUACCUUCCUUCCAUGCAAAUGCACCGCAAUUAAUAUGUUAUUCCUACUGGAAUCAACCAAGAGAACCCAGUGGCCUCACAAUGAAGCUCACUCUGUCAUCUGUGGUUGCCCAUGGGCCAUAUCGCUUAUAUUCGCCCAAGCCGUGUUCUAAGUUCUAACAUAUGUAUAUACACAUAAAUUUCAUUUCAGAUUUAUAUUGUAGAUUUUAAUUAAUUAAGGGUGUUUUAGAUUUAGCCCCUUACAAUUGUUGAACUCUAGACAUAAACUCACGAAUAUUAAAACAUCUAAAUAAAACCCAAAUUUUGAAUUUGAUGCCAUGUAAGAUAAAAGAUGUCCAUAUAUUUAAAUUUAUUUACAACACCAUGCCACCAACAUUAAUAUGGCUAUUAUUGACACACCCCGACCAAGGUCAAGGCAUGCUGGCCGUCACGUGAGAGUGACGUAACCAUGUGCACAGUGCGGAAGCGAUAAAGAUAGCAAAAAUACGAAUAAUUAAAAACCACAUUAAUAGAGUGCACUACUAAACAGAAAGUGAUAGGAGUUAGUUACAACAGUAAACACUCAUAAUUCAGAGCAUAAAGUCUAGGUGCAGUCCAGUAGGACAAGUACUAGUUACACAGUACCAAGAAUGUCCUACUAUUAAUCAAAUAGGUCAGAACUGCCGACAAUCCCGAGUCAUCAACAACAAGCUUACUAAGAACCUGGAGGGGCGCAAAACAGAAAACGUGAGUGGGCAAAAACAAAUGUUUUACAAAAUCAUUUCAUUUAUCAACAUAACUAACCUCUCGCUGUAAAACAUGUAUAAUUUUCCCAGAAUCAAGAUAUAAGCAUAUACGUAUAUAUAUCUGAAAUCAUAUCAAUUCAGUUCAUGCUUCACAUAAUCAUACUCAUAUGUAUGCCAUACCAAAAUAUAACAAAGUAAACAAUUUAGGUAAGAAUGAUUUCAUGGAAAUAUGAUAUGUUAGCCGGAAUUCCUGUGGUAGUCUGUACGACCGAAUUCAUAGCUCAAACUCAAUCUAGCCGGAGUCACUACUAUGACUUAUACGACAAUAUACUGCACAUAAGUCGUAACCACUAAAAAGGGUCUGUACGACAAGAUUGGGUGUAAUAUAAUUAUGCUCAAUUUUACUCUCUCAAUGCUAGCUGUGCGAUAAUACGUUAGUCACCUACGAGUCGGAAUCACCUAUAGUGGUCUGUACGACAAGACUGUGCACCUAUUUGGAUCCAAUGUGAGUAUAUGGUGCGGGAGGUGACAUAAUAUACAGGCCUGUGCUAGCUUUCUCUGGUUAAAUCGCAAUCACCCGGGUGCAGGUUAUGAGCUCAAUGUUCAUCAAUGCAUUUAUAAUCAUUCCAUUCACAACUAAGGCCUCUGUCUCAAUUAAUGUAUGACUGCAUCUAACGUUUCGUUAGACUGCUUACGUACCCUGAAUAAGGAUCAAGUCAUUCGUAGUUCACAUACUCAAACAUAACUUACCUGAACUUACCUGUGCCUCCACAACACCACAUUUAUAUAUAUAUGCAACCACUAAAAGCAUAACAAAAAUAUAAAGGCAUUUGGCAUGGAAAUUCAAGGCAUACUUUCAUUUAAAUGCAUUUUUUAGAAAUAUAUCAAGUAUAUAAAUAUAUACUGAAAACCAAAAGCCCACUCACUGAUAUGUCGAAGGGUCGUAGCCCCCAAGUCGCCCGUGGAUACACUCGUCCUCAGGAUAAGUCUCACCUAUAUGCGAAUUAACUAUAAAAACAUUAUUUUAAAGCAUAUAGGCAAAACUAGCUAAUAACUUCUCAUACAUUGCUCAAAAUGGGUAUAUGAAUGUACCACAGUGAUCUACACAACCUCAGGAUCAUCCCCAUAUUUUUAGAAAUAUUUUUGGACCUCCCACGCACCGCCACGCGCUGGCGGGUGCACGGCAAGAUGCUCCACCACGUGCAGGGAAUCUGGCAGGGAAUCCUACGGAUUCCCUGACUGCCGUUAUGAAUAUUCCUCAGAAUAUUCCGUUAAAAUCCAAUGGAAUCCAUCUAAUCUAACUGACGCCGUGAGAAUAUUCCGUCCAAACUGACGGAAUAUUUCGUAUUCGUCCCCGGUGAGUCGCCGGUCGCCGGAAAACUGGGUAAAACUUUAAAUUCACUAUUCUCACUUGUUUCUUAACCAUUUUUCAUGAAAUUUGAACCAAAUGAAAGCUUAGAGUGAGAAGAAUGACAUUAUACCUAUUUAAAGCUUCAAAUCUCACGAAAUCACAUCGGGGAAGCUUCGAAAUUCCGACCAAACCUGUAACUCUUCGUUUCAUGUGAUCCCGACGUCCAAAUUCUUCAAAUGAACUACCCCGAGAUUCGUGAGGACCUCUGUUUAUACCAUAUUUAGGGCCUCCGUAUUUAGAUCUCGUACAAAUACUCAGGGGACUUAAAUGUAAUUAUGUAAUAAAGGAAGGGGUAAAUAUGUAAUAAGUGAGGAGCCCUUAUUCUAUAAAAGGACCCUUCACCCUCACAAUUAGGGGAGGCCAAUUCUUAGGCCUUCUCAUCCUCUCUCCCAUCCCCUCUCAUAUUCAGAGGUUCUCUCCUCACCUCUCAGAGAAAUACAUAAUCAGUGUGGACGUAGCCCAAACCUUGGGGUGAACCACGAUACAUCUUGUGUUAUUUACAUUACUUGCAGAUUCACGGUCGGAUUUACGUUGGUCCAAGACCUUCGGUUUUGUGCAUUAACAUUUGGCGCCGUCUGUGGGAAUCGACACGAAAAGCUGUGUCGGUUAUCUCUUAAUUUUUCAUCUCACCACCGUGACAACCUCACCACCGUCCACCAUGGAUCUGCAAAACCAAGAGACACACACACUCUCUCUCCCCCACCUUCUUUAUUUCUUCUGUUGUUCAACCAGCUCUCUCUCUACAAUCCUGCAUCAAUCAUGGCUGCUUUACUGUAUGUUGUGAUCUUAUUAGCCUUCACUGGCCACUCGAGUGCUACUUAUUGCGUAUGCAAAGAUGAAGUCGGUGAUGCAACACUUUAAAAGGCACUGGACUAUGCCUGUGGAGCUGGAGCUGAUUGCAGUCCAAUCAACCAAAACGGUGCAUGUUACCAACCCAACACCGUCAAAGAUCACUGCAGUUAUGCUGUCAACAGUUAUUUCCAGAGGAAGGGUCAAACUGCGCAGAGUUGUGAUUUUGCAGGUGCUGCUACUUAGAGUCAAACUGCUCACAGUACUGCAAGUUCGACUUGUGUUUAUCUUGCAAGUUCCAGUCAAGCAGGAACUGACACGCCAACCGCAGGCACACCAACGGCACACCCACCACCCCAACCACGGGCAUAACUCCAACCAUGGGCACACCAACCACCGGCAUCGGCAUCACAACUCCAGGCUCUCCAGCAUCAGUGUUUGGAAUAAGCUCUAUCGGGAAUGGCACUGGAAUAGACAAUAAUGGCGGCACGGCUACCUUGGGAGUGGCAUUGGAAUAGACAAUAAUGUGGCAUUUAAGUUAUGGAGUUUGUAAAAAACGACGUCGUCUCCAGCCAAUAAUGUGGCACUGUACAAUCACUAUCUCUGUUCACCAACCUCAAACGACGCCGUCUCAGGCCGGGCAGAACGGGGCUGUCAGCGUAAAAAACACACCGGCCAGGUCAUCGAACCCUAGCCCGUGACCGAGCCCCUACCCACACGGUGUAUCGGUUAGACCGUUGCCCGAUGGAGUGUCGCCGUCUCCGACGAGGUCGUCGACUCCGGGUAGGUUUUCAUGUGGAAGUUCGCGCCUCUGUUUCUGGCGAAGCACAUAAAGGCGUCGCUAGUGAAACGUUUUAGGAAGUCGAAGGAGAGUUUGAUUUCGGAGGAGGGUGGGGCAGAGCUGGAGUAGUCGCUAGACAAAAGUUUCAGGUACUGGAAGAAUUUCAGAGCCAAGUACAAGCUCGGGAAAGAGGCAAAGCGAGGGCAUUUUGGUCAUACUUGCUCUGGUAGGGGAAAAAAUGGUGAGCUCAAGGACUAGGCUGUGGCUGUUAAGAUAAUUUCAAAAGCCAAGAUGACGAUAGCUAUAUCGAUUGAAGAUGUUCAUCAAGAGACGCCAAUAAUGUUUCCUACACACUGCAUCUCACCGUCUUUAGUCAGCUGCCCUCCGCCCCUCUAUCUUCAUCUUGCGACUGAGUUCCACUGCCCCUUCGUUUUCUUCCCAAGUAUCCGCCACCAGAAGUCACUCUGUUUCACCGUUUUCUGCAUUCCUCUCUCUAAUCUCCCUUUAUUGCGCGAGUAUGGAUCCUGCAAAGGUGUUAGAAAUUCUCUACACUUUUCCGGUGGAGGACCGGGUAAAGAAACUGAAAGACGUAGCUCACGAUACUGAUGGCGUAUUGCAUCAAAGACAUGGCUCCACAACAUGCAGGGAAACCAGGAAGAAGAUAAGUUCCUAUUAUCAAUUCUAUUUUUUUCCUUUUGUCUGCCAUCUGCCAAAAGAAAAAGAAUGAGCAGGAUAAUACCACCGACAACGAAAAUGGUGAGAAAGUACUCGAGAAGGUCGACCCCAUACUCAAAGCAAUCAGAGACGCAGGGGAAAGAGAAAAGAAAAAAAGUAAAAGAGAAAGGUGCGGUGAAAAAGGGAUCGACAAAAGGCAAAAGAGGGAGGAGCAAGCUGUCACCAAUGAGUUCUAUUAGAGCGGGGAUGUCAAGAAAAGCAGAAAGAAAAAUAGAAAGUAAAACCAGAAAGCAAAAGGGAGGCACAUGGGGACACUGCAAAAGCAAGGAAUAAACACCCCGCCAGAAUGAAGUGAUUUACUUUCCUUACUUUAAAUGAUAUAAUUUAUUUUUCUUAUCUUUCGGAGACAUCUGUAUAAACCCCAUUAGAGGUUAAAAAAAAUGGCAAGCCCAAAAUAAUGGGCUGCAAUGUUGUGUAGAGUGCGAAUGCCCAUAUGCCUAAAAGAGCCAGGCCCUCUAUUAUCACCAACCAAGUGAUUAAAAGUACGCCCAGUACUCCAAAAUUAUUAGGCAACCCGCCGUUAUUACCACCAACCAGGUGAUCAAAAGUAUGCCCAGUACUCCAAAAUUAUUCGGCAACCUGCCGCUAUUACCACCAACCAGGUGAUGAAAUGUACAACCCGUACUCCAAUAUCAUUUGGCAACUAGCCAUUCAUUCCACCAACCAGGUGAUGAAAUGUACAACCCAUACUCUAAUAUCAUUUGGCAACUAGCCAUUCAUGCCACCAACCAGGUGAUGAAAUGUACAACCCGUACUCUCAUUUAUGCCACCAACCAGGUGAUUAAAAGUACGCCCAGUACUCCAAAUUAUACAUGAGCAUUACUCAUUUCAUUCAUAUAUAAACAUUCAUGAGCAUCACUCAUGACAAUCAUACAUAAACAUUCAUGACCAUCAUUCAUGUUAACAUUCAUGAGCAUCACUCAUGACUACAUCCAUGAACAAUGCACAAUUCGAGGGUUAGGUUUCACGGGGUUUUCGAAGGUUUCAGGUUCUAAAACUUGUACCAAUGGACUCCUAAGGUCAUAAAGAACAUGAAAAUGCUUACCUUGGUUUCGAUCUGCAAGGUUUGAAAUGGUUCCUGGAUUGCCCAUACGAAAAUGCCAAGAUGAAGAGAGAGAGAAGUCCACGGGAGAGAGAGAGAAGGUAUGUGUGUGGUCCAAAGCCACCAAUCAAAAACCAAUAAUUCCCUUACUUCUAAUUGGGUCCAAAAACUUAGGGAAAAAUAAUAAAUGGGUCCAAAUCCAACUUAAAUCACACAAUACAAAUUAACGUCCAAGGGUAUUCUUGUCAAUUCACGCCGUUGAUAAAUAUAAAUUUGGGACGGGUUGUGACAAUUAUGGUUUUUUUUUUGUAGACUUUUAAUAUAUUGUCUUUUGUUUGUCAACAACAUUCAAUUAGUUUAAGUUUUUUUUUUGCUUUUAAUUUAAAAAAAAAAAAAGGAAGCUCUUUUCUUCUUUUAUGUGAAAUCGCCUAAUCCAAAUCUAAUUAGUUCAAUAUACAUUCUAUUGAACAAGUAGAUACAUUAACUUGUGAAAAUUAAAAAAAAAAAGGGUAAAAAUUGUUGAUGCACAAAACCUAAGGUCUUGGAAUAACGUAAAUCCGACCGUGAAUUUGCAUGAAAUGUAAAGAACACAAGAUGUAUCGUGGUUCACCCCAAUGUUUGGGUUACGUCCACACUAAUUAUGUAUUUAUGAGAGUAUUGAGGAUGAGAGAGUUUCUAAGGGUUAAAGGGCCUAGGAAUUGGCCUUCCCCUAUUGUGAGGGUGAUGAGUCCUUUUAUAGAAUAAGGGCUCCUCACUUAUUACAUAUUUGCCCUUUCCUUUAUUACAUAAUUACAUUUAAGUCUCAUGCGUAUUUGUACAAGAUCUAAAUACGGAGGCCCUAAAUAUGGUAUAAACAGUAAUCCCCCAAGUCUUCAGUCAAGAAAGUCUUUUGGCUGAAGACUUGCAAUUCAGUCCAUGUGUAGGUCGAAGUAACUAAUUGUUGUCUUGAACUGAUGCUUGAUAUGAGGCGGUGCUUAAUCUAAAAUGAUAUUCAACUAGAAGUAGCACAUGCUGCGAGGCUGGCUGCUCGGCUCGUGGCUUAUGUGUGGCCUUGGUUGGUUCGGCUUGUGGUGUCUCGAAGGGUGAGGGAGUCCCUUUUAUAGAAUAAGGGCUCGCUCCUCAAUACAUAAAUGAUGGGUUAGGAGUGAUGCUCACGGCGAGGCGAUGCUCAGCUCGGCUGCUGCUCUAUGAUGAUGAUAGUGGAGUCCCUUUUAUAGAAUAAAGGCUCGCUCUUCAUUACAUAAGUGAUGGGUUAGGAGUGAUGCUCGCUGCGAGGUGGUUGCUCAGCUGGCGGCUUGCUCUCUAAAUGAUGGUGAGGGGGAGUCCAUUUAUAGAGAUAAAGGCUCGCUCCUUAAUACAUAAGUGAUGGGCUAGGAGUGAUGUUGGCGGCGAGGUGGUUGCUCAGCUGGCGGCGUUGCUCUCUAAUGAAGGUGAAGGAGUCUUUUUUUAUAAUAAAAGAAGCUCGCUCCUCAGUACAUAAUUGAUGGGCUAGGAGUGAUGCUCGCGGUGAGGCGGUUGCUCAGAUGGCGGCGUUGCUCUCUAAUGAAGGUGAGGGAGUCCAUUUUAUAAAAUAAUCCUUUUAUAGAAUAAAAGCGCUCGCUCCUUAAUACAUACAUAAAUAAUGGGCUAAGUCCCUAAGUUUUUCAUGAGGCCCUAGUUGAUGGCCCAAUAAUGUGGUACCUAAUGUUAGUCCCCUAAGUCUUCGGUCAAUAGAGUAUGUUGGCUGGAGACUUCAAAUUGAAUCCAUGUAUGAAGAAUGUGGCGGUUGUUCAGAUGUGGUAUUUGUAUACCCUGCACUAAAGCUUUGUAGGUGAAGCUUUGCAAGUGAAGCUUUGAAGCUAGAGCUCUGUAAAUGACGUUUUUGAAGCUAGAGCUCUGUAAAUGAAGCUUUUGAAGCUGAUUGACAUAAGUGAUGCUCAUGGAUGUAGUCAUGAGUGAUGCUCAUGAAUGUUGACAUGAAUAAUGGUCAUGAAUGUUUAUGUAUGAUUGUCAUUAGUGAUGCUCAUGAAUGUUUAUGUAUGAAUGACAUGAGUAAUGCUCAUGUAUAAUGCUCAGUAUAAUUUGGAGUACUAGGCGUACUUUUGAUCACCUGGUUGGUGGCAUGAAGGAGAGUACGGGUUGUACAUUUCAUCACCUGGUUGGUGGUAAUAGCAGCAGGUUGCCGAAUAAUUGUGGAGUACUGGGUGUACUUUUGAUCACCUGGUUGGUGGUAAUAGCGGCAGGUUGCCGAAUAAUUGUGGAGUAUUGGGCGUACUUUUGAUCACCUGGUUAGUGGUAAUAGCGGCAGGUUGCCGAAUAAUUUUGGAGUAUUGGGCGUACUUUUGAUCACUUGGUGGUUGGGCUAAUAUUGUGGACUGGUUGUACUUUUGACUUGCUGGUUGGUAGCUUUUUGAUUUCUGGUUGGAGCUAUUUUGGGCUUUUGGGCUUUCGCCUUCUACACAACAUUCCAGCCCAUUUAUUUUGGGCUUUGCCCUCACAUCAUUCUGAUGGGGUGUUUAUUCCUUGCUUUUACUUUUCUCUUUUUGCUUUUGCUUUCUCUUUUGCUUUCUAUUUUCCUGUUUUCCACUGCACCUCUUUGUCUCUUCUCUUCACUUGGUAGACAAAAGGAAUCAUAAUAAUAGGCUUAGCUUUUGCUUUCUUCUUUUCUCUUUUCUUUUCUGCUUUUGUUUCUCCCACUCAAUUUCUUUGACAUCUUUUGCUUUCUGCUUUUGUUGCCCACCCCCUCUGAGUUGGGUUUGACUGGUUACUGCCGUUGAAGCUGAAUCUGUGACUUCUUUUUCUAAAGUGGCAUUGGAUUCGCCAACUUUAGCAUCCUCGUGACUCUCGGGGUUUUCAAAAGUAAAGCCUCCCUUUAGCCAGUGCAGAACAAACGCCACUGUUGACUGUGAUCAUUCCUAAAAUUGAUUGAAAACUCAGAGGGUACGCACACUGAACUUUGAGUCAUUGCAGAAUAAACGCCACUGUUGAUUGUGAACAAACACCACUGUUGAAAACUCCGACCGUGAAGCUCAUUGUUGGUGUGGCCUGUAGCGGCGAUGUGGAAGUGGACAGCCUCGAGGAGGCGGAGGGCAAGAGGUAAGGGACAAUGGUGUGGAGAGAGAGAUAGAGAUCUCGAUCUUGACGAAUGCUGAGAGACCUCGCCCUUUUAGGCCCUAUGCUGCUCCAAACCUUUUGUAUGAAUUCCUCGUUGACGACGGCAGAGAUGUCAAGCAGUGGGUUACCCGUCCCCAACAGAAUCCUUCAGACACCAUCAUAGCAAAAAAGAGCUACAACCUUUCUUUGACUUGUCUUCAUGAUCUCCAUCAUACCCUAAUUUUGGCUGUUUAUCUUUCUUUCUCUUAUGAUAUGAAUCUUCAUCUAAAACUUGAUCAUCACCAGCAGCACCAGCAGCUUCAUUAGAUGAAGAAAAUAUUGAAGAAUAAUUUGGUGUGAAAGGGUUUUUAGUGGUACUAGUAGUCCCUACUGAGUGAUCUCGUACACCUGCUGCUGCCGGCUGCUUGUUUGAGUUGUUAUCAUGAUCCAACGGUGGAGAAAUGACUUCGAAUGAAGAACAAGACAUGUCGAAAGCUUUCAAGAGGGUGUUGUAGUCCAAUGAUCCGUGUAGGCAGUCGAUGAAGCUCAUGAACGGAUUAUGAUGAUCAGAUUCAAACCCAUUUAGGGUUUGUGGGUCAUCUGGUUGGUUUUGGUAUGUGGAGGAAUUGCCAUAGUUGAAGAAUGGAAAGCUUGACUUGUUGAUCUCAUGGUGGUUGUAGUCGAAAGGAUCGUACUGGUAAGGAUUUUUCCUCUCAUUUGACAUGGUAGAAGAAGAAGCAGCAGAAGAAAAAGCUUUUGAGAGAUGCGAGAGAGAUAGAGAUCUCGAUUUUGACGAAUGCUCAGCACCGAUUGUUAAGGAGUUCGACAAAGACUGGGUGGUUCAGGAGCUCAGCGCUGACCACGAACUGCUCAAUCUCGUCGCCGACGUAGAUCGGGACGUGGCCCUCAGGGACCAUCGGUUCUCUAGCGGGGGAUCUUCGGCACCGGUGCUUCACACCGUAUUUGGCCCAAUUGGCAUGUGAAAGCAGGGCAGCCUCUCGUCGCCGACAACCUCUUAGUUGAGUCCAUAAAGGAGGAUGAUGAAUCCUCUAGUGUUUUGGGAAGAUGUAAACACAGAUUCAGCCCUAGUGCCUUUUCCUUCAUUUGCUCCUUAUUUUUUAAAAAAUCCCAGAUCUCAAAGUGCUUAAAUUAAGCUUUUUUUUUCUUUCUUCUCUCCAGUUGGGAGAGAGUUCUUGGAAUGAGAGAAAGAUAGUGGGCUUUAACAAAAGUUGAAAUGGAACACGAAAAUCGAGGGAGAGAAAGAGAGAUGUGUUUAAUGGAGGUGUUUAGACGGAAAACUAGAAGAAACUGGGGUUGAAUUGUAUUUGAUCGUACUAGAAGUUUUUUGCAGAUUCAUGAUAGAGGUGAAAAAUGAAAGAGAACCGACAUAACUUUUCGUAUCGUUUCCCACAGACGGCGCCAAAUGUUGAUGCACAAAACCGGAGGUCUUGGAACAACGUAAAUCCGACCGUGAAUCUGCAUGAAAUGUAAAGAACACAAGAUGUAUCGUGGUUCACCCCAAGGUUUGGGCUACGUCCACACUGAUUAUGUAUUUCUGAGAGUAUUGAGGAUGAGAGAGUUUCUGAGGGUUAGAGGGCCUAGGAAUUGGCCUCCCUCUAUUGUGAGGGUGAUGAGUCCUUUUAUAGAAUAAGGGCUCCUCACUUAUUACAUAUUUGCCCCUUCCUUUAUUACAUAAUUACAUUUAAGUCCCCUGCAUAUUUGUAUGAGAUCUAAAUACGGAGACCCUGAAUAUGGUGUAAACAAAAAUAAACUAGUAGAUACAUUGUUUCUUGUAAAAACUAAACAAUAGUUACCUUAUUUUCAUAAAAAAAUAAACAAUAUGUAAUUUUUUUUUUAAAUUACACAAUAGUUUCACAAUUUUCGUAAAAAUUAAAUAAUAGGUACUUUAUUUUGCAUAUAUGGGUUUGUUAUUAUGUAGGUAAAUUAUUUUUCAUGUAUUUUACAUAUACUGGGUAUAUUAUUUUUCUUUUUUUUUAAGCAAUCUAACAUUUUAAAAUUUUAAUAGUAGGUGCACUGUUUGAAUCAAAUGUUUUUUUUUUGUAGGUAAAUUAUUUUGCAUGAAUUUUACAUAUAUCAGGUAUAUAUAUAUGUGUGUUUGUGUGUGUGUGUGUGUGAGAGAGAGAGAGAGAGAGAGAGAGAGGGAGGGAGAGAGAGAGAGAGAGAGAGAGAGAGAGAGAGAGAGAGAAAUAAUUUACCUACAUUAAUAUGUAAAAUAUAAUUUUAUUGACUUAAUUAAGCAUGUAUAGUAACAUAUAUUGGACAUGUUUUAUGUUAUUAUAUAUUAGGCAAUGAAUUUAUAACAUUAUUGUUUUUUUGUUUUUUUGUAAAAUCAUUAAUUCUCCCUUACCAUCCAUCCGCAUGGCAUUAAUUAUGUACAUCAAACAUUCAAAUAGGGUUUAUAAAAAAAUAAAAAUAUUCAAAUAGGGGUAGUUUAGGCAUCCGAAAUUUUUUUAAUGUGUGAAGUCAAACAUAAUUAAUGAAUUUGCUGAUGUGGAAUCUAGUCAAUGGUUUUAUUCAAGAAAAAAAACUUAUCUCGGGUUUAUGUAGAGAAAAUUAAGUUUUAGGGGUUAAAGUCAUAUUUUUAGAUUAAUUAAUCCAGAAGGGCUUUUUUUUAGAUCAAUGAAAGAAUCCCUGUCUCCUCAAUCUGGUAAUUUUUCUCUUUAUGCUAGCUAAUGAUAUUUAAUCUGUGUGUUAGGAAAAAUAGAGAUGAAAUUAUGGUUGGUGUGCUCCCCUUAUAUAACGAUGGACGUCUUCUUAGUCGGAAAGCAAUAUAUAUUACUAAUAGUAAAGAUAUUUAACCAAAUAUGUUUGUAACUUUCAAAUAUUUUUUUUAUUCAUUUCAUUCUUCACCUAUAAGUAAAGAUGACUGGUUGAUAUUACAAUUGCAGUGUACUCUUCAAGAAAAUUGACCAACUUGACGAUUGAUGCGGAAAACAGCUCGAAAGUGGCUAACUUGAGACCAAGAUUGUGACGACCCAUUCCUACUUUUCACUGUAAUUUCUUUUCCCAUUGGUGUGAACUGACGAUUUUACCCCUUUUGGACAAAAGUGGAAUGUGACGUGGACGUGAUUUUCGGCUUUCAGUUUCAUUUUCAUGGUUUCGUACUAAAUUAGUAGUCGUCGCUAUGAACGCGUGGACGCGAGUUAGACCCGAAACGGAUCUAUAACGAAAAAGUUACGUUUCUUUAAAGUACGUAAUCACGAGUACUUUUGUACAUGCGCGUACAAAUUAGCAGUGUCGGAAACACUGUAAGGAAGCAUAUCUUUUACAUUAAAAAUUGUUAAAAAUCUGAAAUCAAAUUCUUCCCUUGAUUGGUGGAUCCGUGUCCCCUUCUUCCUAACAAACCAAUUUUAUUUUCCACCAAUCCCUUUCAUCAUUUCCUUUCUCCCUAAAACCCUCUUGACCAAUCACUUUCUUUUCCCUCAAACUUGGCACCAAUCAGAAACUGACUUCAUUCUCUCUAUUUUCCUCUUCAUUCCUUCUGAAAACCUCUCUAUUUUCUCUGCACAAGCAGAGAGGCCGAAAGGCCAUGCACUAACCCCAGUCACGACCACUCGACUUCUUCGACGAGUUAGGUAAUCAGACCACCAUUGUGCUUUAUCCCAUCCUAUCUCUAUAAGCUCAGGUCGUGAACUUCAAACCCAAGCGUGGAGCUUGCACUGCAUAGUGGUCACUGCAACUGUUCAUCAUUUUCUCCGAAGAGUUCUUAUCGAGUUCAACUAAGGUAAGGUCUCUGGACAUUGGUUUUGAAUUCCUCUCAUUGAAAUUAUGGAUAUGUGACUCAUUUCAAACAUCUUAGUGGAAGGUCAACAUUGAAAUGACUCGGAGGAAGAGAUCCCGAAAUUUUUCCAACAAGGAUCCGUGGCCAUUUGGCCACUUUUAGACUAGAUUUCCGGCCAACCUCGACCUCGACUGGAUUUCUAAUAGGUAUAGACUUAUUCUAUAUAUUCCUAACUUCAAAAUGGCUUUUGAAUCACUGAUUUUGGUUAACUAUCCAGUUAGAAAACAACCCUGAAAGUUGGGAAGAAAUUCCCAAAAUUCUGGAAAAGUUUGACCAUGGCCAUUUGGCCACUUUCAGGCCAAAUUCCUGGAUGACACGGACCACAUUUGAACUUUCUGUGAAUAUAGAUUGAUUCAUCUCAUUUCUAGCUUUAAUUUGGCUUUUGUAGAAGUGUUUUUGGAUGAGAAUCUAGCUCGUUAGGGGCUCAGGAAGUUGGCCCAAAAUCCAUAAAAAUUGCAGAAAAUCGUGGAGAAGGCGAGUACAUGCAUACUCGCAAGCAUGUGAACGCACGUGACCACCUACAUGCCAUUGGCACAUGCAGCGUGUGGCAGGUUGUGCAGCCUCUUGUGGCGGCGCGUGACGGCACGUCCGGCCUCCGGCUGACGUGUGGUGGACAAGUGUGUGUCCGUGACGUCGAGUAGAUCGAUUUCAUGUAUUCAAACCCUAUGUUUGAGCAAUCUACGGAGGUUUUAUUUAAGUUUCCGUGUAUGUGUUAUUAAACUAGGUUAAUAAGUUAUUUCACAUAUAGGGGAAACGUAUCCCCGAGGACGUACGAGGUCAAGCAAGGCUAGGAGGCUUCGUUUCGACUGCGUAUCUGUGAGUGGGCAGUUUAUUUUAUGCUUAUACAUAUUGAUAGUUUCCCUAAAUGCGUAGUUACUUCACUUUUACGCUUAUAUUGCCAAGUAUUUGUUAUGGUGACAUUAAAUGUGAUAAAUGCUGCUAUAUGGUUGGGAUAUUACUGUCAUGACAUUCAUACAUAUCUGUACAUGCUCAUCUUGCUGCACCGGUGUUAGUACUCACCCCAGGGCCAGGGCUAGUCCUUCACGUGUAUGUUCACAGCGCACCAUUCGCUCGCCUUGGAUCCAAGUUAGGUGCCAGUCCUGUCGGGUAUAUUGCAUUAGGAAAUCCGACUUGUAUGUGAUGUGCUUCUGCACCAGUCUACACGUGAUUGUAGUACUAGAGCAUAUUGAUUACACCUAGUUUUAUUCGUGUCAGAAAUUAUCUGUUCGAACUCGUGUGUUAGCUUAGAUGGAUGAGCACUUGGCUAUACUUGAUUAUCACAUGAUUUUAUUACUGGGGCAUUUAUAUAUCAUGACUUGGCAUAUUUCUAGUUAUAAUUGUAACAUCCCACAUCGCCCAGGGGAGUGAUCCUUAAAUGUAUAUUCACAUCCCUACCUAGCACAAGGCCUUUUGGAAGCUCACUGGCUUCGGGUUCCGUAGGAACUCCGAAGUUAAGUGAGAAGAGGGUCAGAGCAUUCCUAGGAUGGGUGACCCACUGGGAAGUUGCUCGUGAGUUCCCAGAAACAAAAUCGUGAGGGCGUGGUCAGGGCCCAAAGCGGACAAUAUCGUGCUACGGUGGUGGAGCGAGCCCGGGAAGUGAUCCAUCCCGGGACGGGAUGUGACAAAUGGUAAUAGGGCCAAUCCCUGACUGGAAGUGUGCUGACAAGGACGUCGGGCCCCUAAGGAGGGUGGAUUGUAACAUCCCACAUCGCCCAGGGGAGUGAUCCUUAAAUGUAUAUUGCAUAAGGCCGUUUGGGAGCUCAUUGGCUUCGGGUUCCGGGAAGCAAGUCCCAGGAUGGUGACCCACUGGGCUCGUGAGUUCCUAGGAGAAAAGUGAGUCCACCCCGGGUCGGGAUGUGACAAUAAUGUUGUUGUAUUAUUGUUUACAUACUUACGUAGUAUGUUUUAAGGAGACUAUACUUGUUUUACGACGAGGGGUUAGUAUAUUCGAAAAUAAAGGUUUUUACAAAAUGUUGUUUUGCUGACCCACUCAACUUUGUUUUUCGCCCUUCGAGGUUUAGUAGCCGUGCUUACGUAUUUACAAGGAUUCUAGCAAAUCUCAGGAGAUGGUUACCUUCAGUGGUAUAACUCUUAUCAUAUUCAUUAUACUGUCUUAUGCUCUAUCAUCACGUGUGAAAAGGGUUCAAUCCCGCUCACCCGUGCAGUUUUUUGUUUUAGGCACCUUUAGGUUUAAAUUUAUUCACUUUUUCACAUUAUUUACCCUCAUGGUUACGUCACCUCACGGUGAUGGCCAGCAUGCUUUGACCUUCCUAGGUCGGGGUGUGUCAAAGAUAGCCACUUUCGAGCAGUUUUUCGGCCAAACCACGGUGAUUUAGCCAUCGAGAAAGAUACCAUUCUCUUCGUCUCGUUGAGAAGUAUGAUUUUUGUUUUUGAAUCACUUGAUUUCAUUGAGUAUUGAAGAAGUUAUGAACAUUUAAAGUUUAUCUAGUUUCCGGUGAGUUCCAAUUUUCUCGCGGACCAGUUACCUUUCAGGCUAUUUUACAGCCAUCUUCAUUUUGAUAUAUUAUGGGUCGAAUUUGGUUAAGAAACAAUUGAGUUACGAAGCUUUGAAAAUUGUCCAAACUUUCGGCCAAGAGCUCUGGGACACUUAACAGAGUUUUUAACUAAAUGACUAAAAUAAUGGAUGGUAGACAAUCUCAAAGACCAUUUCUAUUGAUUUUCAAUCUCAGGGACCAAAGUGAUGUGUUAUGCAAAUCUCAAUGACCAUUUUGGCUAAAAAACCUUAUUUGUUUGAGUAUGUAUCUUUGAUGUAAUUACAAAUUUGUUGUUAAUCUACUUUAGAUCUUUGGUGUAAAUAUUUUAUAUCUCUUUGAUGUGUGUUCUUUUUUAAUCUCAUUUUCUUUUCUCCCACUCCAUUUUUUAACUAUGGUCAUAGUGCAAAUGAAUUCAAAAAACUCGGGAUAAACUUUUUCUCUUCAGGUUACUAUUACUUAUUUGCCCUACAAGUCCUAGCUUUGCCAAUAAUAUGGAGAACAACGCCUGAUUUAUUUAUUUUUUUCUUUGUCAAAAGGUCUGCUUUACUCUUCUCAUUUUGAUAAUUCCCUUGCCCUUGGUUUGAUAGCAUUUGGGUUUUAAGCGUUGAUAUAAAGAAUUUCAUUCUAAUCAUCAAGUCAUCUUUUAACUUUUAGGGUAAAUUACAUUUUACCCCUUCAUGUUUGAGGUUGAUUUCAAUUCCUUACAACAUCUUUAAAUAUAUCUCACGUAAUAUUUUAUUUCAAUAUAAUACAUCCGUUAGAUAUUUCAUCCAUUGGUCCGUUAAAAGCUGACGUGGCUGCCACGUGGUAAAAAAAAAAAUUUAUGCAUUUAAAAUAUUAUAAUAAUUUACCCUAUUAAUAAAAAUUAAAAAAAAAACCAGAAAUUCUUCCUCGACCCCUUCCCUUUCCCCACAACCCAAAACCCCCAUCUCACCCCACCCCUACCCAUCUCUUCUUUCCCGUCCGACUGCCGCAUCACUAUGACUUUUGCAAUUCUAUUUUCUUCCCUCUCAGUUCUCUUCAUCUCUUUCUAAACCUCCAUAACUCUAAUAUCUUCUUCCUUAAGGAAAAAAAACCAAAAUCCAUUUGAAUUAAACCCUAAUGGAUUGCUAAUAAAAUCAGUACCUUUAAACAAAUUAGGACCCAAACCCCCCUCCUUCCAUCCCCUCCGACGACCUCCUCUUCUUCAAACCCCCUACCUUCAAACAAAUCAGUACCUUCGACGACUUCCUCUUCUUUGACUCUUCCGACCUCGACCUCUUCUGCCUAGCCUUCCCCAACCUCUUGCCACAUGGCAGCGGCAGCGACAACAUCGCCAUGUUUCUCAAGUCUGACGACUCAUCCGGGGGCCAACCACCCAACCCUUUCUCCUCCACCCCCAAGCCCACCACAUACUUCGGCUCCACCGCUAUCGCUACCCACCUCCGGAGCCUCUUCGUCGACUCUGACUUUUUCAACGGCCUGGGCAGAACGCUCUACGGGUUUGGGGGGCUAGGUUAUUAGGGUUUCAGAGUGGCGAUUUUGUAAAUGGGUUGGUGGGUAGAAUUAGGUAUGGAAGUGCUUCAAUGGGGAUGAACCGCGGACUGAGUGGUGGAUUUUGUAAAUGGGAGUUGCAGAGAGGUGAGGGGGAAGGAAGGGGAUGUGGGUUAGGUUUUUUUUAAUAUUUUUUUAAUAGGAUUAAUAUUAUAAUAUUUUUAAUGUAGAAAAAUAUUUUUUUUGCCACAUGGCACAAUUUUGGCAGCCACGUCAGCACUUAACGGACCAAUUGAUAGAAAAUGUAAUGGACGUAUUAUAUUGAAAUAAAAUAGUAUGUGAGGUAUGAAAGUGAAAUGUUUUAAAGAUGUUGUAAGGAAUUGAAAUCGAACCCAAACCUGAGAGGGUAAAAUGUUAUUUACCCUAACUUUUUUUCUGUUGAUUUGUGUCUGUAGGUACACAAACAUAUGUACAUUUUGCUUUGAAAUUUUGCUACAAAUUGAGCGGCUUAAGGACAAUCUCUGUUUAGAGAAAUAAGUUGGACAAAGAAAGGACAUGGAUAUGGGAACAUGAUUUGUCAUUAUAUUACUUGGGGACGAGUUUUGAUAUUUUAGAAGUUGGUUGAGUUUGUGGAGAUUUUGCUUUUCACAUCUUGCUUUGUAUUUGAACUUAAUCAUUAGAACUGAACUUUAACUUUUAGGGUGUGUUUGUUUACCUUUACUAGAUCUCACUGUACUUGACUGUACUAAGAAUUACCGUAGUCCCAUGUUUGUUAAAGGAAGGGACUAGCUUUAGUGGGAUUAAACUUCACUCGCAUGGACUAAGCUAGCUGGUCUUAGUGAAGGUCCCCAAAUACCAGCGGACUCCUAAGACUACCUCUUUCUCGCGUCGUCCUGCUCGACUCCUCGCCUUGCUCAAUCGACGGCAAAGACAAGAGUUCUCCAGUCUAGCCUAUCUUCGACUCAAGGUUAUCUCUUCCACCUCCUCUUCUUCUUUUUCUGAUUCAAAACAAAUUCAAUCAAAAGUUUAUAACUUUGAAGAAACAUAAAUUGAAUGACUGGAUUCUAAAUCUUAAUGGAUAUUAAAUUCAAUUUUUGUUCUUCUUUUUGUUUGCAGCUUCGUGAAGUUGUUGAUUUCGGCCCUUAAUCUCGACCGCUUAAGUGUAUCUGAAUGCUCUAAAAUGGAGAAAAUAAUUGAUUUGGAGGAAAAUAAUCACAGAUCUGUAUUUGCAAUCACUAUCGGUGUUGAAGAGUGUAUACGACAAUGCCCUGCCAUUUCCUUGUCUGAACAAAAUCUGGGUAACUGAUUGUCCUGCGCAGAAGAGAUGCCACUCAAGAUUGGCUAACCUUUGCUUCGUGGUUGGCUAAUCUCUCCAUCAAUUUGAAGAUUGAGGUUUCCAGCGAACGACAAUGAUAGAAAUGUUUGUCAAUGUUUUUGAUCCUUGCUUCAUGAUUAUCUUCUGCAAAAAUUUGUUCUUGUUUGAAUAUUGAAAUCUUCAAGAAAUUUGUGGAGAAUUUUGUGCAAAGAUAAAGGAAAAUUGUUAAUUUAAUUGAAAGGUUAUGAAUUGAACUAGAAUUAAAAGUUAGUCCCGUUUCUUAGCCUGAUACUGUACCAAACGUUUCACUAAGUUAGUCUAACUCAGUCUAUUCUAAGUCAGCCCAGUUUAGUCCCUAGAGCUAGUCCAGUCCAAGAUAGUUUGGUGUAACAAACGCACCCUUAAAUGAUAAGACUUCAAGAUGCGACGGUUGAGAUAAAAAAAGGUCAAGUAUAUAUGUCGAGAACUUAGGGAUUGUAGGCCUGUAAAUUCCAAUUUGUAUUACUACUUGUCACGCCUCAGACCCGGGUCGACAACAAAAACUCGAACCCGAAUCCGAAAUGUGAGUUAGAAGCUCAAUAAAUAAAAGGAAAUUGACACGGGUUGGAAAACUGAACUCCUCUUAUGAAAAUAAUUCAUGAUUCUAAAACAAAUCAAGAAUUCUUUACAACCUACAAUAAAUAAAUGAAUAAAUUUUCUCUACUCCAAUCUAAUCCGAUCUCAUCCUGCCUACCCUCUUGAGUGUUUAGUUCGUAAACCUGCAUAACAAUAGAGGGAUGAGCUUCUAUAGCUCAGUAGGGACAACCGUAUCACAAUAAAUUGAUAAUAUUAAAUUAAGUGUCAUGAAAUCAUAUAGCCAAAUAUCAAAUCAUUAUUGAUAAUAAUGCAUGAAUGCAAUGAAACCUUUUCAAUUACCCCCGUUAAUUUAUAUAAUAAAACACGCGGACUUGCAUGUCCCACACCAUGCAUUUUACCCCUGUAGAGGUGUCACAUCUUAGUCCGCAUAACAAGAUAUUGUUUGCUUUGGGCCACGCCCUCACGGAUUUGUUCUUGGGUUUCGACAUAAAAACUUCCUAGGGGGUCACCCAUCCUAGGACUGUUCUCGUCCAAACUCACUUAACUUCAAAGUUCUCAUGGGAUUCGGAGCCAGUGAGUUCCCAAAAACGCGUCUUGCAAUGGGAGAUGAGCAUGUACAUAUAAAGCAUAGAGGAUCCUCUCUCAUGGGGGAUGUAGGACACUACAAUCCACCCCCUUAGGGGCUCGACGUCCUCGUCGGCACACUUCCAGCCAGGAGUGGCUCUGAUACCAAAUUGUCACAUCCCAGUCAGCAUAACAAGAUAUUGUCCGCUUUGGGCCAUGCCCUCACAGAUUUGUUCUUGGGUUUCGGCACGAGAACUUCCUAGGGGGUCACCCAUCCUAGGAUUGUUCUCGCCCAAACUCACUUAACUUUGGAGUUCUUUUGGGAUCCGGAGCCAGUGAGUUCCCAAAACGAGUCUUGCAAUGGGAGGUGAGCAUGUACAUAUAAGGCAUAAAGGAUCAUCUCCCUUAGGCGAUGUGGGACACUACAGUCCACCCCCCUUAGGGGCCCAAUGUCCUCGUAGGCACACUUUCGGCCAGUGAGUGGCUCUGAUACCGAAUUGUCACACAUCCUAAUCCACAUAGCAAGAUAUUGUCCUCAAUGGGCCACGCCCUCACGGAUUUGUUAUUGGGUUUCGGCACGAGAACUUCCCGAGGGUCACCCAUCCUAGGACUGCUCUCGCCCAAACUCACUUAACUUCGGAGUUCUUAUGGGAUCUAGAGCCAGUAAGUUCCCAAAACGUGUCUUGCAAUGAGAUGUGAGCAUGUACAUAUAAGGCAUAGAUGAUCAUCUCCCCUGAGCAUUGUGGGACACUACAAGAGGGGGUUUAAAUAUUCUAUUAUAGAAACUAACCCCCAUAUGAUAUCCCAAGUUCAUGAAUCCCUUUUGCUAGUCAUCUUAUCUAAUUCAUUGAUCUCCAACCCAAAUCACCCACAUCGACAAUUCCUAUCGAUAUCCUAUUCUACUGUGCACAUCGAGCUCGCCUGGAAUGGGUUUCACAAUGAAUAGAUUCAACUACACAAAAGAUCUUUUCCAACUACCCUCAUUUCCAUACUUCCAAUCUGAAUAUUGAAAUUCCCACCACAUCAACAUGAAUGAUGCACAAAUAAUAUUAAUUUAUCUUCCACAUGUAUCAUUGUAUAUUCUCAACGAAUAGCAUUACAACAAUAAUUCCAUAUCCAAUAACACAUAUCCAAUAACAAGUAAACACUUAACUGAAGCAAUUAGCCAAUUAAUAUUCAAUCACAUUAAUCAACCAAGCACUUCACGAAAUUUAAUAAAAUCAAUUUCCGUAGAGGUCUGCCUUAUUUCCCCUACCAGGAUUCCAAAGCUAAAACAAAGAUUCACGUCACUACUGGAAUAACUAAGCUCCACGUACUUAAGUAAGCUCCUUGAACACUCCUAGCGCCAUAUAUUUCUUUCGUUCUCUUUUCUUUCUUAAUCUCUCUCUACACACACGCGCGCACGCGCGCACACACACACACAUAUAUAUAUAUAUAUAUAUAUAUAUAUAUAUAUAUAUAUAUAUAUAGACACAUAUAUAACACUAUUGCAUGCGCUACAUGCUGCCAUUCUUUCGCGUGAUGAAAAACACUGGAGCAGGGCCUCCUAUUUAUAGGGACAUAUAAGUUGGCUAAAACUUAGAUGGCUAAGUAAUUUAAUAAAAUAAUAAUAAACAGAUACUUAUGUAGCUUCUACAGGUGACUUAUAUUUGAUGAGUCACGAGAGGGAAAGCCAAGUGGCAACCCGUGAUGAGAAGAAUGAUAAAUGUCACACGAAAACAUGACAAGUUGGACACAAGGAUGGCUAUGCGGUUGUGUGCUGUCUAAUAAGAAGGAAAUGAAGGUUUUGUUGAGUUGCAAAGGCUCUACGUGUAGGUCCAUUCAAAUACACACACACACACACACACAUUUAUAUAUAUAUAUAGAUCAAAUAUCACAACCCGGUCCAGCCCCCACCAUAUUCCGAGCUCGACUCCACCGUAGCACAAUAUUGUCCGCUUUGGGCCCCUACCACGCCCUCACGAUUUUGUUUCUGGGAACACACAUGAGAACUUUCCCGUGGAUCACCCAUCAUGGGAUUGCUCUCGCGCGAACUCGCUUAACUUCGGAGUUCCGAUGGAACUCGAAGCCAGUGAGCUCCCAAAAAGCCUCGUGCUAGGUAAAUAUGAGAAUAUACAUAUAAGGCUUACACGAUCCUCACCCCUGGGCGAUGUAGGAUCCAAAAGGCCUCGUGCUAAGUAGAGAUGAGAAUAUACACAUAAGGCUUACAGGAUCCUCACCCCUGGACGAUGUGGGAUGUAACAUCAAAUAUAGAUUUUUAUAUUUUAACAAUAACAAAUAAUAAUAAACAGAUAUUUUUAAAAUACAGGUUCUCACACUACUAAACCAUAUAUACCAAAUGUAAUUAGGAAUUAAAUUAAAUACAAACUAUAUGUGGAUGGAGAAAGCAAUAUAUAAGGAGAGCCGAAAAUACUUGGAGACAAUCAAAUACUGCACAAAUUUGUGACAAAUUGACGAGUAAAUGACUCUUUAUUUUAUAUUUUUUUUUUAUCUUUGUUAAGCUAUAUGUUUUAAUUUACUCAUUUUAUUGUUGGAUUCAAAAGCAAAGAUGACAGAAGGUGUGCGUGUGUGCGUGCGCGCGUGUGUAUGAGGUGUGAACUGUAGGAAGUAAGUCGCAUAAUAUGUGGGGCCUAAACUAGCAAUGACCUCACCCAUUCUUCACAAUAUCACAUUUGACGAAGAAAAUUAUAAGGAUAUAAUCACAAACAUUUUUUUUUUUAAUGGGUAAGCAAGCUUUUUGUUACAACCAUGAAAACACACAUACAAUACAAACACACAAUGGACGGCAAGCAGUUUUUUGUUCAAGUGGUGAAUUCAGCGAUCGACAACUUAAUUGGCUCCUCAUGGCUCUGUGACGACGACUCGACUGUGAGAAUUAAUGUACGUGAUCAGUGAUAUAGUAUACAUUAAUACAUAAGUGAUAUAUUAUACAGAUUUCUGUCCCAGAUGCGCGCAAUUAUUUGUAAAAGUUAAGAAUCCAUGGACCCAGACAUUGGAUUGCGCAAUAUUGGGUUCCCCAGCUAUGCUGAAUUAUUUAGCUCGCUUAUUAUUAUUUUAUACCACUAGUUUUGGUUGGAGACAAAAAUUUCAGUCUCUACAACACUGACGACAUUCAUCAUCUAUUUAACCGUGGGCAUGCAUGCAUGGAUAUCUAUAUAUUGGUUCAAGGAUCGAUAUAUAUGGAUUAUAGACCUCGGUUAAUUGACUACAUUCCAAUUAUAUAGUCACGUCUGGAUAUACAGUUAAGGCCUUUUACAAUAAUUUUAGUGAAUUUGAUUCCUAUCAACCGUAAUUGCCUUUGUAACGGUAGCACAUGUGAUCCUGCAUAUAUUUAGUUACCCAACUGGUGUAAAUCAACCUACAAUUACAAUUAGAGUUUAAACAAACUCAGCAGCAUAAAGAUUAAAGACAACACUGAGAGGUACUGGGACCUGAUGAUACAUAUGGAAGUUACGGAAGGGAAGCACAACUUUUCUUCUGCCCAGUUUAGUAUUGCUUUUUUUUUUUCACCAAAAACUGUUUCAUUUUAAAGUAAACAAAAAAAAAUUGUUUAGUAAAAAUAAAAUAUAUUGCUUCACUUUUAAUGAAUAUUUUUAAUUCCAGUAAAAAGCUUAUUAAUUUCAAAAAAAUAACGUUAUUUAUCCUUCUAGACCAUGGUCCGAAAUGCCGAUAAUAUGGGCGAUAUAUCGCCGAUAUUAUCGGUUUUGAGAAGUUCCGAUUUUUUUUUCUAUAUCCAACUAGUUUUCGUGAUAAUAUCGCGAUAUUACCGAAUUUAUCGAUAAUAUCGGUGGCUGACCGCUCGGAGAAGAACGCCGGAGCUGUAGAAGCUCCGGCCGACUGUAAAACAGGACCCUAGACUCCGAUCUAGGUAUGAAAAUGAAAAAGGAGACGAGAUGAACAUUUGUAUAUAUGAAAUUUGCCGUGAAAUCAUCGGAGGUGUUCCGAAAUUGAGUCGACACGCACGACCUCGCCGGAGUUCGCCGAGUUGCAAAGAUGAGAAGGAGAGGGAGAAAGACGAUGCUGAUGAUGAUGGGUGUGCAUGUGUGUAUGUGGGUCUUGGACCAUCGGCGCAAAGAGAAAGGAGAGAGACGACGGCGGCGGCGACGAGGGAGAAGCAGAAGCCGAUCUGCCAAUGUGGGUCUCUGUGCGUGUGUGUGGGAGUGGGAGAAAGACGAUGCUGAUGAUGAAGGUCGUGCAUGUGUGUAUGUAGGUCUUGGACCAUCGGCGCAGAGAGCUAGAACGAAAGACGACGGCGGCGGCGACGAUGUGGGUCUCUGUGCGUGUGUGUGGGAGUGGGAGAAGGAUCGAGAGACCUUGGGUCUCUGUGUGUGAGUGUGUGUGUGGGGGAGAAGGAUUGAGAGACGUACGUGGGUGGGAUUGGGAGAUCUGUGUUUGUUCUUGACGGGGGAAAUUGACGUGGGAGAACGGAGAAGGGGGAGAAGGGACUCAGAGAAGAGAGAAGGGAGAAGGUUCGAGAGAGUCUGAGAGAAUACCGUAUGCGUGUGAGAGGUGAGUGUGCGUGGGAUGUGUGCGUGUGUGGUGUCAUGUCGGUGUGUGUGUGUGGUGUCGUGUGAGGUGACUGUUGACCUGUGUAUAUAGACAUAUAAAUAUUAUAUAAUGCAUUCGUAACCUGUAAAGCUGUAACACCAAUAAUAUUCUUACUUUUUGGUUUUAGAUUCUAGCAAUACUUGCAAAAAAUUUAUGUGGCCCUUUGAUGUGGUUGGGUCAUCUCAUCUGAGAUGCCUGACUGUUUUACAAAAUGUCCAUAACUUUUUGCAGUUUCAGACCAUGGACAUCAAAUAAUACUGCUUUUAUAAUGAAACCGUGUCCGUGUGCGUGAGUUCGUGAUAUUCUUUCACAUGCAGAACAGUGUAUCAUUGUCUAUUAUAUUCUUUCACGCGGCACGCCUUAUCAGAGGUGGAGUGAUAGUAUCAGAGGCAUUCAGCAUUUUCGUUUCUUCUUCUUCCCUUACCAUUUUCAAAGCUAUUCCAAAUCCAUUCCAAAGCUUGAAAACAAACGGUUCCAUAUUUAAGGUAAGUUUACAAACUUAAAUUUAUAUUAUUGUAAUUUAUACAACAACAAAUAAAUUUGUAUGGACUCGUAUGUUAAUUUUUUUAAGUAAUUAAUACUUGCAUGUUAAAUUUUGUAAGUAAUUAAGUAAUGUUAACAAUUACAUGUUAAUUUGUUUAAGUAAUUAAGUAAUGUUGUAUAAUUAUUCCCUAGGAUAAUUUUAAUAUGUUUAAUGUUAUUUAUUAUUUUAUUUCCCUUACCAUUUUCAAAGCUAUUCCAGAUCCAUUCCAAAGCUUGAACACAAACGGUUCCAUAUUUAAGGUAAGUUUACAAACUUAAAUUUAUAUUAUUGUAAUUUAUAUAACAACAAAUAAAUUUGUGUGGACUCUUAUGUUAAUUUUUUUAAGUAAUUAAUACUUGCAUGUUAAUUUUUUUAAGUAAUUAAGUAAUGUUAACAAUUACAUGUUAAUUUUGUUAAGUAAUUAAGUAAUGUUGUAUAAUUAUUCCCUAGGAUAAUUUUAAUAUGUUUAAUGUUAUUUAUUAUUUUAUUAAUAUUAGGUUUUAUUAUCAAAUUGGAUUAUUAUUCAUUAAUAAUAGGUUUUUUUAUUAUCAAAUUGAAUUAUUAUUCAUUAAUAUUAGGUUUUAUUAUCAAAUUUGAUUAUUCUUCAUUAAAUUGGAUUAUUAUCAAAUUGUAUUAUUAUUCAUCACCAUGUUUUAUAUUAGUUUUUUUUAAUUAUCAAAUUGGAUUAUUCUUCAUUAAUAUUAGGUUUUAUUAUCAAAUUUGAUUAUUCUUCAUUAAAUUGGAUUAUUAUCAAAUUGGAUUAUUAUUCAUCACCAUGUUUUAUAUUAGGAUUGUUUUUUUAAUUAUCAAAUUUGAUUAUUCUUCAUUAAAUUGGAUUAUUAUCAAAUUGGAUUAUUAUUCAUCACCAUGUUUUAUAUUAGGAUUAUUUUUUUAAUUAUCAAAUUGGAUUAUUCUUCAUUAAUAUUAGGUUUUAUUAUCAAAUUUGAUUAUUCUUCAUUAAAUUGGAUUAUUAUCAAAUUGGAUUAUUAUUCAUCACCAUGUUUUAUAUUAGGAUUAUUUUUUUAUCAAAUUGGAUUAUUAUUCAUUAAUAUUAGGUUUUUUUUAAUUAUCAAAUUGGAUUAUUCUUCAUUAAUAUUAGGUUUUAUUAUCAAAUUUGAUUAUUCUUCAUUAAAUUGGAUUAUUAUUCAUCACCAUGUUUUAUAUUAGGAUUAUUUUUUUUAUCAAAUUGGAAUAUUAUUCAUUAAUAUUAGGUUUUUUUAAUUAUCAAAUUGGAUUAUUAUUCAUUAAUAUUGGGUUUUAUUAUCAAAUUGGAUUAUUCUUCAUUAAAUUGGAUUGUUCAUUAAAUUGGAUUAUUCAUUAAAUUGGAUUAUUAUCAAAUUGGAUUAUUCAUUAAAUUUUUACAAUCAUUUUCAUUUUCAUUACUUCGUAUUUAAUUCUUCUGUAGAAUAACUUUAUUAUUUAGGUUCUCUUAUUUUAUCAAAAAAUAAUUGUCUAAUUUUCAUGAAAAAUAAAUAUAGGUACAUUUAAGAUGUCAAGUGGAGUUACUAAACGUGAUCCAGCUUGGGAACAUGGAGACCCAAUAGACGGAAACAAACAUGGCACAAUUUGCAAAUAUUGUGGUCGGGUAAUGAAGAGUGGCGGAGUGACACGACUUAAGUACCAUCUUAGUGGAUUAGAUCCAGCAAAAAAUGUCCAACGAUGCGAUAAUGUCCCCCCCCAGAAGUGAAGGCAUUCAUUAGCACAUUAUUAAAAAAUAAAAAACAGCAGAAGGAAAAGAUAACACAUGGAAUGGAAAAUAUUCGAGCUGGGCUACGAGGAGAAGUCAUUGGCCAAGCGGUUGACAGUGAUGAUGAUGACGAUGAGGACGAAUGUGAUGAUGACAUGGGACCUGAAGAACGACGCAGUUUGAAACAAGCAUUACGUGCCUCCAAACAGUCAGCAUGGGAAAGAGAACACCUUCAUAAAAUUCCUAAUAGGGGACAAGGUUCCGGGACAAGUGGUGGUGCACAAAUGAGACGGGGAGGCAGUCUUAGAGAAUCACAACCAACACCACCAAUAGCCCCAAGUUUAUAUAAGUCAUCCAACGCACGUCAAAAGAGUGUUUGGAGUUAUUUCAAGGGAGGUAAUGUGAAGGAGGGAAUGGGGCGUCUAAUUAGCAAGUUCUUUAUCUAUGAAAAUGUCCCUGCUGAGAAGGCAUCAUCACAUCAUUUCAAAAAUAUGGUAGUGGGAUGUCAACAGGCCGGUGUUGGAGUACAACCUCCAACUCCCUAUGAGAUAAGAAACAAAUAUUUGGAUAUGGAGUAUAAAGACAUUGGCGAGUAUGUUAACAAGUUGAGGUCAAAGUGGGAAACUAAUGGUUGCACAAUCAUGUGUGACGGAUGGACUGGGCCGACCAGAUUGUCUAUCAUAAACUUCAUGGUAUACUCCAAGGGAAAGACAAUUUUUUUGAAGUCUGUUGAUGCUUCAGACCAUAUAAAGAACUACAAGUAUAUUUACAAAUUAUUGAAGGAUGUAAUCAUGGAGGUGGGAGAGCAUAAUGUUGUCCAAGUCGUGACCGACAACGGUUCUGCAUUUGUCAAAGCUGGAAAAAAGUUAAUGAAGCAUCAUAAUGUGUUUUGGACAUCAUGUGCAGCACAUUGUAUUGAUCUCAUGUUUGAGGCAAUGGGGAAGAGAGAGAAUGUUGCUACUGUGGUCAAAAGAGCUAGAACGAUUACAAAUUAUAUUUACAAUCACGGUUGGUUGUUGGCAAAGAUGCGUGAAUUUUGCAAAGGAGAAAUCAUUCGUCCAGCUACCACUCGAUUCGCCACCAACUAUAUUGCAUUAGACAGCCUACUGAAGAAGAAAGCAGCGUUGAAGCAACUAUUCACUAGUGACGAUUGGGCCAACCACAAUUUCAGCCGCUCAAAUACAGGUCGUAUGGUGGAAAGUAUAGUGCUUGAUCAUGCUUUCUGGACUCAAUCAGAACAUGUGUGCCAACUGUUUGAACCUCUUUACAAAGUUUUACGGAUCGUUGACACAUAAGUGUAUCCUACUAUGGGGGCAGUAUAUGAGUUGAUGCGUGUAGUGAAGGAUGAAUUGGAAAGAAAACAUGGUGCAAGGUGGGUCAUCAAGAUAAUUGAAGAUCGAUGGUAUAAAACAUUGUACCACGAUUUGCAUGCAGCAGGUAUAAAUUAUGUCAUAAUUUGCAAUUCAUUUCUUUAGUUGCAUAAGUUUUAUUUCUCUUAUUAGAGUAUGUGUUUCUUUGAACAGCAUAUUAUUUGAAUCCUCGAUACCAAUACAGACCCGGUGUUGGAGAUGAUGGUACCCUUAUACGUGCUGUACAUAAUGUAUACUCUAAAUUAGACCCUGCAUCACUAGCAGUUGGCCAAUUUGGAAAUGAGGUACACAAUUACUUAAAUUAUAAUAAUUACUUAAAUUAUAAUAUUAAUAAUUACUUUGUUGGAUUAAACUAACACGAUUUAUUGAAUUCAGCUAACAUGGUUUAAAGAUGCAAGAAGAACUUUUGGAGAACCAACAUCAAUUGCUGCUCGAACAACAAUGUCUCCUAGUGAGUGUAAACAUAUUUCACUAUAAGUUUAUAAUAGAAUUUGUUCGAGUUAUUAGGCUUAUCAACAUUGUUUUUCAUUGUAGCUGAAUGGUGGAUCAUGUAUGGGACCGAUGCACCAACUGUGAGAAAGUUAGCAAUCAAAGUAUUAUCACAAACAGCUUCCUCAUCUGCUUGUGAAAGAAAUUGGAGCACAUUUGCACUGAUACACACAAAGCAAAGAAAUAGGUUGGCGCAUAGUAGGUUGGAAAAAUUAGUAUAUUGCUACUACAACAUGAAGCUUCAAAUUCGAGAUAAGGAAGCAGAAAUAGAUCAUGUCGACCGUGGUGACCCACUAGAUGUGUUUGAUAUUGUUGGUGAAGAUGAUGAUACAGAGGGUAACCAACUUUUUCAAUGGAUUAGACCUCUUCAUUUAGAUGAUGAUGAAGGCAACCCAGCUCCCAGAGUUGCUGAAGAAGCACGUAAUGAAGGGAUAAAUGUAGAAAGAGUAUUAGAGGAGGAGGUGGGAUCUAGCAGCGCUGACUCUUUGGAUGAACUUUUCCUCCCAAGACCAAGAAACACUGGAAUUCCACCUUCUUCCAAUCCUACACAACCACAACAUCGUGCUGAUACUAAUGAUAGCUCUAGUACAAGAUCAGGAGACUCACCUACCACCGGAGGUAGGAAUGAUGAAGGACAUAGUGGAGCUGGAGGUAGUGGAGCUGGAUAUGGAAACUAUUAUGGACCACCACCUCCCGGAUAUAUGAGCCCCUUCACUGGUGAGGCAAACUUCACGCAUGCAACACAGGAUGAUGACCAUGGCAGUAGGCGGGCAGGACCAGGAAUUGGUGCCAUAGGGAAGGACUAUACUCGCAGAGAAAGAGGUAAGGGGAUUUUGUCAAGUCAAGAAGAUGACUCGUUAUCUAGAACUUCAGACUCUGUUGGAUUGGGAAGUAGUAACUAUGGUUAUACUCAUAACCAACCAUUUCCCUACCCUUCAUAUCCCUACCCUUCAUAUCCCAUUCCUGUCGGGAUGGAAUCGAGCGACUCAUGGAAACAAUCCCAGACUCAAUCUUCAAAUGAUUUUUCUUAUAGACAACCUCAACCAAUCUCGGAUCCAUAUGGGUGGCAUGUUAACAAUUACAUGCACUAUUUUGGGGAUUUAUCAUUUGAUAACUACUCUUCACAAUACACUCAUUCUACACAUAGAGAUGAUGAAGAUAGUGAAAAAUUUGAACCUCAUAGGAACUCUAUGUGGUACUAAAGUGUAAAAUAUUGUACUAAUUCAUUAUAUAUAAAUGAUUAUGGUGUGUUUAGACUUCUUUCAUUAAUUACUACAUAUUUUCUACACUCAUAAUGUUUGUCAGAUCGCUAUAUAAUCAACUUGAUAAUGUUAAAUCCAUCAUGCAAUGCAUUUCCUUCCAAUUUUUUCUGAUAAACUAAUAGAUAAUUGACUAAAUAAACAUCCUACAAAGUUUCAAUAAAAAUUUCCAAGUUUUUCUUACAAUUUCCGUGGUUUCCAUGUAAUUUUUAUCGAUAUCGAUAUUUUACCGAUAUUUCCAUCGAUAUUUCCGUGUUUUCGGAUUACCGAUAUUUCCGAUAUUACCGAUAUUUAAUACCUUGUUCUAGACACAUUUUUUUGAAGAACAAAGUGACCAUCACUACCUACCACUACAAACCUUAACCCUUACACCACCAUUGCCAUUACCACCACCAUUGUUGCCAUCACCACCACUACAACUACACCACAACCAUACCUGCCACCACUACCACCACAACCACAACUGCCACCACCAUAAACACAACCACCACCACUGCCAUCACAACCAAGGAAGAAAAUAUCGGUAAUAUCAGAAAUAUCGGUAGUUUGAAAACACAGAAAUAUCGAUGGAAAUAUCGGGAUAAUAUCGAUAAAAAUUACAUGGAAACCAUGGAAAUUGUACAAAAAACUUGGAAAUUUUUAUUGAAACUUUGCAGGAUGUUUGUUUAGUCAAUUAUCUAUUAGUUUAUCACAAAAAAUUGAAAGGAAAUGCAUUGCAUGAUGGAUUUAACAUUAUCAAGUUGAUUAUAUAGCGAGCUGGCAAACAUGAUGGAUUUAAAGGAUGUUUAUUUAACUGAUUUGAGGUGACCCAACCACACACACACAUACAUGCCACCACACACGCACACAUGUUCUGAAUCCAGUGACAGUUACUGGGUUCACCCUUUCAACCUCUGCGAGCUUAUCUUUUCUUCUCUCUUCUUCUUUUUUUGUUUAAAAAAAAAUUAUAAUAAUUGUUCUUUUACAUUGGUAACUGUAAGGUUUUAAUUUCGAUUCUCGUUAAAAACAAGUUUGAAGGAUAUUAUUACUAGUCCAUUGUGAUGCUUAGUCCACUCCCCCACUCCUUUAAUGUAGAUACUACUGUUUUUUUAUUAUUAUUUAAGAAAAGUGAUAUAACCCCUUUCACAAUGAGGGGUACCCAAGAAGAAAAGAGAAUCUUUCACACCUUUAAAUUUAAAAUUUACCAGCAAAGGUCUUAAAUCCAAAUACACUUUCCUCCUAAAAAAUUGUUCUCAAAGUAAAAAAGGCAUAUGGGCAUGCGGUUGCAUGUGGUGUUGAAUUUCUGAUUAUAUUACACACGCACAUAACACACGCACGCACACAACGCAUGCACAGAGAGACUGAGUCUCUCUCGAUCCUUUUUCUCAUUACACACGCACACACACAACAACCCACAGGGAGACUCCUCAGUCUUUCUCGAUCCUUCUUCUCUCUUCUCUCCCUUCUCCCUUCUCCCACACACAGACACAGAGAUAUGUCGAUCUCUCUUCUCCCUUCUCCCACACACACGCACAGAGAUCUGUCGAUCUCUCUUCUCCCUUAGCCUCGUCGGCCUAGUCUCUCUGGAAACUCUCAUUUCUCUCUACACCGAGUCCGAGACCCAUAUACACACACGCACACCAUCGCAUCUGCUUCAGGAAGACACCCAUCGUCAUCAUCAACCUCGUCUUUCUCCCUCUCCUUCUCGUCCCUGCAACUCGGCGAACGUAGGAACUCCGGCGAGUUUCUUGAAUUUCUCCGGUUAGGUAAGCUUCGAUUUACCUCUUUCUGUUCCACAUUGAAGCUUAUAUGUGAAAUUUAAGUUCAAAAUCGUGUUUUUGCAAGGUUUUUGGGACGAAAUCGGCUCGGGUUCGCAUAGAUCCAUCUCCGGCGUUCUUCUCCGAGUGCCCAGUUCCAAAUCUAUCGCGAUAAUUUCGAAAAUAUCGCGAUAUUAUCACGAAACCCAUUUGGAUAGUUAUAAAAAUAUCGAUCCCCUUAAAAAUCGAUAAUAUUGGUGAUAUAUCGCCGAUAUUAUCUAUUUUUUCUUCCUUGAUCACAACCACAACUAUCACCAUUGCCGUUGUUGGCAACCUUACAACCAUUGUUACCUCUGUAGCCCAACCACCACACCCUGUUAUUGGCACCACCACCGUCACAAUCAUUGUCGUCGCCACGUUGUCGUCAUCAUCAUCCACACUAUCAUGUCCAUUUUUGCAAUUAUAAACAAUUAUAUCAUUUUUAUACUAAAUCUUAUCAUAAUGUUUUUACAUUGCUUUUCAUACACACAACACUUUAAAAAUAAAAUUUACCACAUGCUCAACUAUUUUACUUUGCAGCUGAUUAUUCUUAAAGUACAACAUAAACAACUUUUAAAAAAUGUACAACAAUCCCAAACUGGUCACUAGUUUUAUAACUAAGAUUCUUUAUGUAUGAAGCUAGAUUCACAUUACAAUUAAUUAAAGGGAUCUUUUGAUAUAGACGCCUCAGUUUUGAAUUCUCUAGAUCAAACAUCUAUGCCUUUUAAUGAUUUGAUUAAACUUUUUUUGUCAUAAUUUUUGUGCUAUAUGCAUAUUAUAUUGUAAUCUAGCCUUUUGAUUACACUCUCAUCCAUUAGAGAUAAUUGUAAAAAAAAAAAGUUGAUUAGAUUCAAUUUAUUUUCACUAAUUAUCUAUGAUUUAAGAUAUUUUAUUUCCAAAAUAGUUUAAAAUAUUUUUAAAUUCCCCAAAAUCAAACGUACCGAAAUAAGUUUUUCUUUUAGUACUUUAAGAGAAAAUAGGAUUGAGAAUAAUAUAAACGUACCAAUACACAAUGUGUACAAAAUAAAACGUACCAAAAUAAAAUAAUGUACCAAUAUUAACAAUAUGUAUCAAAUCAAACGUACCCAAAUUGCAAAUAAACAUACCAAUUAAUGAUUUUUGUAAAUUCAAACGUACCCGCAGAUAAUAUAUACGUAAUGUAUUGUAUCUAAUAAUAAUUCGUCAACAACUAUACUUAAAAAACAGCAAAAAAAAAAAAAUUCACAAAAAAAUUGAAAAAAUUACACGGAGUUUUUAUGUUGAUCACCAACUAUUUGAAAAAGAAAAAACUAUUUCGAAAAAGAAAUAAUAUUAAACGUUUGCAUUAAAAAAAACUGAUCAAAAAACAUUUUUGGAAGAAGAGAAAAUAUAGUUUAAUUACUAAUAUCUCUACUAAAUAAGGAAAACUGCAUCAUGGAGAUAAAAAGAUAAAUUCAAAAAUUAUUUUAAUUUAAAAAAAUAGAGAUGACUAUUGGUCAAAGUGUUGGAAAAUAUUAGUAUUUUGGUUUAUUUGAAUGUUUGGUUUUAUAGGCUUAUCCCGUUAAAGUUAGGUUUUGUUAGAGAUUAGAGUUAGUUUAUUAUAAAUAGGGUGCUUUGUUAUUCAUUAGAGAAUAAGCUAGUCACAAUGUAAUCUCUUAGGGUUUUGUAGUCGUUCCAGCAUUUUCGUUAGUUUAAUAAUAUUCCUAUUAUUUUGUAUUAUUAUUCGUUUCGUACUCUGAUAUUCAACUUGGUAUCAGAGCAGGUUUGAUCCUUCGGGUUGGUAUCUGUUUGCUUGUUUUUGUUGUCAUUCGUGUUCAGAUUGUUAAUUGGUAUUGAUUGUUUGCAAGAAGAAAAAAAUUGUUCGUUCGUUUUUGUCCCGUGACUCUGCUUCUACACCUUUGAACGCUGCAGCCUGCAGGAGUAUCCGCAAGUCUGUAUUGCUGCAAAGGAAAAAAGAGGAAAAAGUAGAUUGGAAUGAAAAAAGAAGGAAAAAAAGGUGAGUAAAAAAAAAAAAAGGAAGAAACAAGAAAAAAUUGGUUGCUUGUUUGAGGCCUAUGCAGGCAAAGAAAAAAAAAAUUGGUUGGAUUUUUUGUUUGUCUGUUCGGAAGUUGACAUCGGCAUCAGCAUCGACAUUGAUAUUGGCAUCGGCAUCGGCAUUUAGAGGCUUGCAUCCACAUCUGCUUGUUGGCAAACUCAUGUCGUGUACCGCCAUGAGUUUGACGGGGGGUGUUUGAAAAUAUUAGUAUUUUGGUUUAUUUGAAUGUUUGGUUUUAUGGGCUUAGCCCGUUAAAAUUAGAUUUUGUUAGAGAUUAGUGUUAGUUUAUUAUAAAUAGAGUAUUAUAAAUAGGGUGCUUUGUUAUUCAUUACAGAAUAAGCUAGUCACAAUGUAAUCUCUUAGGGUUUUGUAGCCGUUCCGGCAUUCUCGUUAGUUUAAUAAUAUUCCUAUUAUUUUGUAUUCUUGUUCGUUUGAUAUUCAACUCAAAGCACUUUAAUCAAAUUUAAAAAAAGCAGAGAUGUUUAAUCUAAAUGAUAUAGAAAAACUGUAGGAGAUUUUAAUUUUUCCUUAAUAAUAUCGAGAGGAAAUUGUAGAAAUAGUCCCUCAACUUUAAUCCAAUUGGAGCAAUGGUCCCUCAACUUUAUUUUCAUGACCAUUGGUCAUUCAACUCGUAAAAAUGUGUAGCUAUGGUCCUUUUCCUUAACACCGUCAAUAAUUCCGUUAAAUUCAGUCAUGUGCGUGGCACAUGACACUGACUGUAAGGAUAAUUUAGGAAACAAAUUUUUUUCCCAGAUAAAAGCAUCCUCAUCCCCAGGUUGUAGUCGAUGCCCAUCCCCAGGUUGAAUUCAAUACCCAUCCCCAGGUUGAAGUUGAUACCCAUAGCUAAUUUCAAGGAUAGUUUAGCCGAUGACGAUGGAGUUGUCGGAUGUCAUGAGGUGGACCGGAGAUCCUCCGAAAUAUUGUAAGGUUUUCCGGAAAACUUGAACCUUUUUAUACUUUGUUAUUUGAUAUGGGUGUUUUCAAGGAGAAGAUGUACCUUUUAUUAGCUGAUUUAUGCAUAUUUGUCAUGCUUUCUUUUGAGAUUCUUAUGUCUGCAACUUUUGUUGAUAUUAUAGUGUUUGUGGUCCUACAUUGGGGUCCCAAUGUUGUCGGUUUGUCAUCACUUGUUUUCGCAUUUGUUUGGAACUUGUAUUGUCUAUGUUGCCAUUGAGGCAGAUGCUCACAAUUACUAAGCCUAUUUAGGCAGGUGUGCACAUUUACUCUACCUGUUGCUUCUUGCCUUUAAUCACUCAAUCUUGUUUUUUAUUUUUUAUAUUUUUUUUUGUGCAGCUAACCCUGAAAAGUGUACUCUUGCACUGAAUCAUGGUGGUUACUUGAUGGAUGGUGCUUAUAUUGGUGGCCAAGUGUGCUAUUUGGACCAUGUGACAGCUGAUUAUCUGUCAUUGUUAGAGUUUAGAAAAAUUGGGAAGUAUGUAGGUUAUGAUGAGAAUGAUCUUUUCUCAGGGAAAGUUCAAAUACACUACAGGGUGCCAGGGACAUUUGAAGAGAUUGUGGCUGACAGUACAAUUGUCACCCUUAUUGGUAAAAUACCACCAAAUAGGUUUGUUGAGAUCUUCUAUGUGGGUCCUGAUGCAAGCAAGGAGUUUGGUAGUCAAUUUUUUUUGGAGUGGCCUACCUUGGAUGAUGAUGAGUUUAACUUGGAUGGUUUUGGCGAGAUUGGUAUUAAUCAAGAAACUGAGACUGACAAAGGUGAGCAAAAUGAAGAAAAUGAUGACGACUUUGUUGAUAGUGAGUACGAGUACAUUGAAGAUGAUGAUAAAUUGUAUGAGAUAAAUGUUGAAGAAGGGCUAGAGAAUUUUGAGGCAGAGCCGCUUUUUGAACAUACUGGAAAUAUCAUCGGAUGAAGCAAACUCUGAGGAUUUUGACAGCCUUGAUGAAGGUGAAGAUAAUAUUGAAGAAAUUGAGUUAAAUAAGAAGAGAAAGAAACGAAAGCCGAAAUUUAAAACAUGGAAAAGGCAAGUGGACCUUAAAAAUCCUCAAUUUAGAAUUGGCAUGAUGUUUGCCAACAAAAAAGAAGCUAAGGAGGCUAUGGAGCAUCAUUCUAUGAGGACUGGUAGAGCUAUUAGAUUAAAAAAAAAUGACAAGACGAGGCUGAGGGCUAUAUGUGAAGGGUCAGAAACUUGCCCAUUUGUGAUUUUAGCCGCGAGGAAGAAUCCAAGGUCUGAUACCUUUGUUAUAAAAACCCUGCAGUUAGAGCACCAAUGUGGGAGGGUAGACAAAGUUUUAUAUGCAGAUUCAAGGUGGCUUUCAGAGCACUAUAUAGACAGACUUAGAACAAACCCAAAUUGGGAUGUCGAUGACAUCAUGGCUGAGGUUAGAAGAGAGUUCAACUUGGUGGUUACUAGAAAACCAAGUUUUCAGAGCUAAAAGGCUUGCUAGAGAAGUGAUUGAAGGUAGUUAUGUGGAGCAAUAUGCACGAUUAUGGGACUAUGUGGAAGAGCUUAAGAAGGCCAACGAAGGUAGCACAAUCAAGGUGAAGACUCAAAUGGACGGUGAUGAUAUUCUUUUUCAAAGGAUUUAUGUGUGUUUGGCAGGGUGCAAACAAGGCUUUUUGGAAGGUUGUAGGCCUGUCAUAGGAGUUGACGGUUGUUUUAUUAAAGGCCCUCAUUCUGGACAGAUUUUAACGGCUGUUGGGAUUGACGGCAACAAUGGUCUAUUCCCAAUAGCUUAUGCAAUUGUUAAGAUAGAAAACAAAAGCACUUGGGUUUGGUUUUGGAGCUUUUGAUUGCUGAUUUGAAAAUUGAGAAUGGCCUAGCAUGGGCUUUUGUAAGUGACAAGCAAAAGGGUUUGGAAUCAGCAAUAAAAAAAUUGCUCCCAACUGCUGAGCACAUGAUGUGUGUUAGGCACUUACAUCAAAACUUCAAAGCUUCUGGUUUUCAAGGGUUGGAAAUGAAAAAUAUUUUAUGGGUGGGUAGCAGCAAGGGCAACAACAAUACCGUGGUGGAAGGAAGAGAUGGAAAAGAUGAAAAAUCUACAUGAAAAAGCAUGGGAAUGGCUUAAUGAUAGGCCUGCUAAUAAUUGGAGUAGAUCUCGCUUUAAUACUCACUAUAAGUGUGAUGUUCUACUUAACAACUUAUGUGAGAGUUUUAAUUCUGCUAUUGUUAUGGCAAGGAAUAAGCCUAUCUUAGGACUUCUAGAUAACAUCAACAUGUAUAUCAUGCUUAGGAUGGCCAAUAGGAGAGCUGCUGGGAGGAAUUGGAAGCAUCCAGUUGGUCCAAGGAUUUUCAAGAUAAUUGAGAAAAGCAAAGUGGAAAGUACUUAUUGUAUUCCUAAGAUGGCUGGUGAGAAGGAGUACCUAGUACAACACUUAAGCGGUAGACAGUUUGUAGUGAAGUUGAAGGAGUCUACUUGCUCAUGUAGGAGAUGGGAUUUAUGUGGGAUCCCAUGCUCACAUGCAAUUGCUUGUAUAUUCGCUAGAGAUGAGAGUGUUUACACCUAUGUCCAUGACUGUUACAAGAAGGAAGCUUACUUGAACUCCUAUGAUCCUAUGAUCCACCCUGUUCCUGGAAUGGACUUGUGGGAUAGGACAGAUUUAACUCCAUUGAAACCUCCAACAUGCAAGAAGCAACCUGGCAGGCCAAAAAGAAAGAGAAUUGUGUCUGUAGGUGAAGUUGAGCCACAAGCACACUAUCCUCCACCACCAACUAAUUUAUUGGGUGAGCACAAUGACACACCGCAACCUCAGAGACUUAGAAAAUGGUUUGUAGAGAUAGCUUGCGGUAAAUGCGGAAAGUUGGGGCACAAUAAAGUAGGAUGUGGAAAAUCACAACACACGAAUGCAACAAAUAAGAAUCAGGUACAUAUUUAUGCUUUAGUAAAUCCUAAAAAACCAAACUAGCAAGUGAAUUGCAGUUUAAUUCAUUCUUGGGUUAAUGCAGGAGACUCAACAAGUAAACACUCAAGCAACAACUCAAAAUGCCCAAGCAAACUCUCAAACUUCAGGGACACAAAUGUCUCAAGGGAACACCGAAACACGAGCUCCAAUUAACUUUCAAGGAAAGAAAAAGCAACAUGUCAGUUCUCAAGCAGGGCAACAAGGAAAGGGAAAACAACCUGUAAGUUUAUCUUUGAUUAUUUUCUCAUACAUUAUAUGCCAAUUGGAUUUGAUUUACUGAAUCAAUUCUUUGAUUUAGGUGAGAAGGGGUGGAUACAAAGGGAUGGGGAACCAAGCAAGACCAUGCAGGCUUUGAAAUAAAUAAUAUUGCUGCUUGUUUGUUUAUGGACCAAGGAGGCCUCGAUUAGUUGAUGUUACCACUUGUUUGCUGAUGGAGGAUGUGAAGACCAUGGUGGUUUUGAAAUAGAUGAUGUUGAUGCUUGUUUUUUGAUGUGGAUAGACCAUGGAGGCCUGGAAUAGAUGAUUUAAUAUGUAUAUUGGCUAUAAAUAUAUGCAACCCAAGUCUUUCUGGGUAUGCAAAGUUGACGUGAAACAACCUUCUUGUCAAAUAUGCAGAACCUGCAGUUCUUAAGUUUGUAUACGGUACACACAGCUUUUUGAGUCCAAAGACAACGAUCCUUUUUUUACCAAUUGUCCACUACCUUCUACCAUGUUGUCAUAAGUUAACAUCAAUUAUCAUGAUUAAGACUGGGUAAUAUUGCAGACAGCUAUGGGUAUCAACUUCAACCUAGGGAUGAAUAUUGAAUUCAACCUGGGGAUGGGCAUCGAAUGCAACCCGGUCAUGAGGAUGCUUUUAUCUGGGAAAUAAUUUGUUUCCUAAAUUACCCUUAUAGUCAGUGUCAUGUGCCACGCACAUGACUGAAUUUAACUGAGUUAUUGAUGGUGUUAAGAAAAAGGACCAUAGCUACAUAUUUUGACGAGUUGAGGGACCAAUAGUCAUGGAAAUAAAGUUGAGGGACCAUUACUCCAAUUGAGUUAAAGUUGAUGGACUAUUUCUACAAUUUCCUCUAAUAUCGAUAAACAACCCAAAGCAACAGGAAAACUCCAAAGAUUACUUAAAAUUUCAGAUUGAGGAGAUUGAAGUUCUAUUUAUUCUGAAAUGGUGGUUUGUGAAAGAUGUGUAGAGAGAACGAUGAAGUGAGAUACAAAUUGAGCAGCUAUAUGCUAAUAUGUCAUAUUACUGCAAGUCUGGGCUUUGCCGUGAAUUUCAAUACUUUUUAGUAGUAUUUUCUACAAAUACAAUGUUUGACUAAAGUGCAAAAUUACAGUAUUAAAAAAAAGCUAUUGUAUCAAAAGUACGGAUGUUUGAAGGCACAGUGUUUACUGAUAUAAAGAUCCUUAGAAAAUGAACCACAGACUCAAUAAAUCUAAUUGUAGAUAGUAAACUGAUAUUAUGCAGUACAACAAUCUGAAGCCUACCAAAUAAUAAAGCAUAAAAGUCCAUAUUACUUCUCCACGGCAAAGCUUUUGUCGAAUUCCACUUGAGAAACCUUGACUUUACCACACUUGUAGCUUUAAAAAAUUGGGGUAAGUGGAGUUUAAUCCUUGGCAUAAAUCAACUUUUCAUAAAAACCUGGUACAAGAUAAAAAAUUUAAAUUAGUCCCUUGACUGGAUGUUCACCUCAGAAUUAACAUUAAAACUCAUAUUUCAUUGGAUUUAAUGUUUUUAUGUGUAUUUUAGUUCCUAAAAUACCCCCACAAUUAAUAUUUGAUUUGAGGGCUUCAUUUCCUCCUAUAAAAUAAGAAAUUCAGUUACAUACCAAAUAAGAAAACGAAAUUAUUGAUUAGAAUUCAAAAAAUUUCAUAUCACAAUGAAACAAAACUCUAGAAAUCAAAUUUUAUUGAAUACAUCAUACCAAAUAAGUAAAUAAUGUACCUAAACCAUGGUACCUAUACCACAGUAUCUAUAGCAUGGUACCUAUAUCAUGGUACCUAAUACAAAGUACCUGCAAAUUAAAAAAAACAUUAUUAGAAUUUUAAUGUACCUCAACCAUGGUACCUAUGUUGGAUUAGUGUACCUCAUUUCUAAAGUGCGCCAAAAUAUAGAGGAGCGAAUGGCAUGAGAACUAUUUGAAACCAUGUGCAGUAUGUGGAGCAAAAAAUUAAUCACAAAGCGACACGUGGAUUCUUGGGUAAAAAGAGGACAAAAAAUACCCUUGAGGCAUACUGGGAUUUCUUACGCGCGAGCAGCGGGCAAUCAUCCCUAAACAAAGUCAAAAGUGCCCACAAUAGGUAACAAUUUAAAGCCUAUUUCAUCAAAUCCUUUCUAUAAGGUAAUUCCUAAAACCUAAUUUAUUCUAUAUAUUUUGUAUUCCAUUAUUUAGCUAAUCAAUUAGCUAAAUGAUAUUUUCCUUUCAUAUUCCCUAAAAAUUGAUUAAUUAAGGGAUUAAUUACCUAAUCAAUCCCUUAAUUAUCAAUUAAAAACACCCAUCCACACCUAAAAACUACUAAGAGGCCGGCCACCCCCCUUUUCCUAACCUUUUUCACCUUUCUCCAUUUUAUUACCCCAUUUAUACAAAUAAUCAAUUUUGUAACUCCUAAUUAAACCUAAAUUAAACCCAAAAAACCCUAGCCACCUCCUAUCCCUAUAAAUAUACUCUCAUUCUCACCAAAAAAGCCAAUUCAAACACUUUGGCAAAAAUCCCAAAAUUCUCUAAACACUCUUUCUCUCUAAAUUUUAACUUUGGCAUCGGAGGUUCUUCGGCCAAAGCCCCCCCAAUUUAUCGUGGGUGCGUGAGGCUCUUGGCCUUAACCUAAGGUGUUAAUUGUUUUGUAGGUGCAAAAUUGUCCAGGAUCAAGGAGGAAGAAAUUUGCAUCCACACAGUACACAUAUGCAGAUCAUAUACAAAUAUUGAACUAAUAUAUCAAGUAUCCACAAACAAACAAAAAAUCCUAACAAAAACCCAUGUACACGAUUUUAGUGAAAAUGCUAAACUUUCUAGACAAAGAAACGAAUCUGCACAACACCAUAGAAGAGGACGAUGAAAGAUUCAUACAAUUGAACUUUUGUGUUUAAAAUGGACAAAAAAUGAAAAUAUAUUAAGUAAUAAUUGCACACUCAUAACUCAGCAUUUAAAAUUUGUUAUUGUCCAUAAUCACAUAUGGGCAAUGUUGGAAAAAUAGAAUUAAUAAAACCACCAAAAAAAUAAAAGCUGACAUAUUGACAUGGAUGUAUAGUCAAAGGACUAUAAUCAAUAUUUAAUCUUGCAUAAGACAUUUUUCUAACUAUAAUCUUAAGCAAGGAUUAAAAUCACAUUUACCAUAAAAAAUUUGAUAGUCUGAUUCAACUCUCCUGGGUUUAUUGCCCUUCAUCCUCCAGGCAUCGAAAUAAUAAUAAAAAAAAUUAAACAUACUUACAUGUCCAGCUCAAAAGAUAAAGAAGUAUCGUUAAUUUCUUCAUGCUCAUUCCAAGUUUCAACAAAUAAGAACCCCCUUCGUUACAUGAUUUCUUCUUCCAUGUCAAAGAAAAUCAAAGGCAAACUAAAAGGAAAAAAAAAAACAUAAAUAUGAAUGCAAAUUAAACUGCAAUUAAUCGCUUAAAAUUGUUGGUUUUUCUUUUCUGUAUUCACAAAUCGAAAUGAACUCAUGCAGCGGAGAAAGUGAUGAUAAAAGGUUGGAAUGUGGGAGUCUGAAAACCGAACGGAAACUGUUGAUAGCAGUUGCAAAACUGAACGGAACGUGGUGACCCCUUCUAAAUCCUCUACUUUUCCAAAUUCUUUAAAUUCUAAUUCUAAUUGAAUACACCUGAAAUAUUACAAACUUCUUUAAAAUUAUAAUUAAAUACACCGGGAUUUCUAAGGAUUUUAAUAAACUAUCUUAAAAUCCUGAUUGAAUACACAUUGAAUUUCAGAGAAUCACUUAAAAUUCUGAUUGAAUACCCUUAGAUUUAUUAAAAGAAUUAAAAUCCCUCAAAAUCUCAAUUGAAUACACCCCCAAUUCAUCACUGUCUCUUUUUUUCUUUUUCUUUUUAAAUUUAUUUUGUUUUCCAACACGUUUUAUGUUAAGAUUUUUUUACCAGUUUAUCCUCCUUUUUUGAAUUUUUUGGGUUUUGGUUGUGAAAAAACAAAGGGGCAUUUUUGAUAUUUUGGAAAGCUUCACCUAGUAUUUGACAAAAUAUCUUUCCAGGUCUUGACAAAAAAAAAACAUCUUUUUAGGUUGCCUCAACAAAUUCUCUCAAUAGAACUCAUCAUAUUGCUUCAGCAUAUGUCAAUAUCGUUGACAUGUAAGCAACCUGGUUCAGCUAACGACAACAUGCCCACCAAAUAUUCGACAAAAUAUCUCUGUAAAUAAACUAAAUUUUUUUACGUGUUUCGCGCUCUAUUUCUACAAAAAAAACUUGGACUUUUAACAAUGAGACUCCCAAAGUUCGAAUCAUGGAUCCGCCACUGCAUAUAGUUUUAAUUAGUUAUGAGUAGAUAUGGGAUACGGAGUAAUGAGUGAUAUUCCAUUGGGUAAACGUACAUGGCUAGCAAUUAGCUAAAGCGUAAUUAAUUGGCAGAGAAAAAGACAUAUAUGACGAAUGAAAUGAAUGGAUGAAAGAAAUUGACGGUAGCUAGAGAAGUGGCUAAAUAUAACCUAAUAUUUGUUGGAACGAAAAACAAGAAAACAAGUAGAGGUACAGACAGGUCGCGGUGGAUCACGGUCAUAUAUAUAGUGAGAGAGAAAGGGAGGAUGCAUCGAUAGCGGAAGUUAAUUUGGUAUAUAAGGUGGUUGCUUUCCAACACUCCCUCCAAAGUUUUCUCCCGCAUCUCACCCUGCUCGCCGCAGGGGAGGGGAUCGAUAACAGAGAGGAAGCGCGGGAAGAAGAAGAAGAAUAAGACGACAUCGACAGUCAGCCGUCACGUAACUAGGUCUAGGCCCGGCCCCAUAAUUAACCAUAGCUUAUUAAUUAUUGAUGGAACCCAAGUUAGACAGCGUGAUCAUCAUUGCCGACACCACCAACAAGGGUCCGGGUCCUAUUAUUCCUAAUGGCGAUGUUAUCGAUAUUAAUUCUAAAUCCGAUGGAGAUAGAGAUCAUGGGCAGGAUCAUCAUGGUUAUGUGGGCGCCAUCACAGCCGCAGCACCAGCACCAGCACCAGCACCAGCCGGUAAUAAUUACAAAAAGAAGCGCAGAGGAGCUAUACAAAUUCUCCAGGUGGCCGCCUUUAUGCUCCGACGACGCCGUUCAUCUGACAAAUUCAAAUCCAAAUCAAUUCCGGCCUCCAUCGAAGCAGAAGCAGUGGCUUCUUCAAAAAGCACGUGGAAGCGCCUCGUAGGGUCCAUCCGUCCCUUGCACCUCCAAAGCGGCAGCAGUAACCCAUCGACGCCGUCGGCCUCCUCCGCUAGGAGCACGCAUGAACGUACUUCUUCAAUUGAACGAUACGAAGACGUGCUCCUACCACCCAUAUCUCCGGCGCGGACUGACGACCUCUCCUCCGAAGAUGGAAUGUCCAGCCGAUACGCCUCUGCUGUCAGUCUCCAAGAGCUGGACCGGACGGAAGAUGAC
rnacentral:lncRNA from 1 species